ACGCUGAUCGCGGGAACAUGGUAUUUCAAGUGAGCGAAGUUCUGGAUAAGUGCCACGUGUGCAAAUUUGACGGUUGCCUGGGGUGCAAUCUUUUCCCGCCAAGUCAGCAAGAGGAAAAAAAAGGGACAACUAGUGCUACUACCAUCACCUCUGCAAUUAAAACUAAAACAAAACGAGUAAAGAAAAACUACAGAGGGGUCCGGCAAAGGCCAUGGGGCAAAUGGGCUGCUGAGAUUCGAGACCCAAGGCGUGCCACAAGGGUCUGGCUUGGAACCUUCAACACCGCGGAGGAAGCAGCUCGCGCUUACGAUAAAGCAGCUAUUGAUUUCCGGGGGCCAAGAGCUAAACUCAACUUCCCAUUCCCUGACAGUAACAGCAAAGCCGAUGUAAUACCGCCGCCGCCAGCUGCAGCAACUGCCGUGGGGUUUGAUCAUGAAAUUAGUAGCAGGUCUGUGCAAAAAGAAAAGGAAAGAAAUGAUGUGAUUAGCAUGGAAAUGGAUACUGAAAAAGGAUUGGGGUCGACUGAGUUUUGGGAUGCAAUAGGCGAAGAUGAGAUUCAACAAUGGAUGAUGACGAUGUCAGAAUUUGGUGGGGACAGUUACUCCUCCGAUUCAGCUACCACUACUGUUACUACCGGGAAUGUUCAUACUUUUUAAUCUCUCGAAGUUGAAUCUUGGGGUUUUACCGGCAUAGGACAGGCAGGCUCUUCCUUAUUUUAUAAAGAAAGAGUAAGAUGAUGGUGAUAAGUGAAAUUCUGUUUAGGGUGAUCAUUAUUUACUGUACAAUUCUAACUUCUCAAUGUCUGCUACUUCUUCAAUAUAUAAAAUGUGAUAUUAGUUAAUCAAACAUGGAAUUUUAUUUGUUUUUAUAGUAAUCAUUAAUUGAAUAAUUAAAUAAAAAAAGAAAUCACUUCCAUUUUCGAGGAAUCUAAAUCACACUGGUUUGGGGUGUUGGCAUGGAUGUGGGUGGUCACCACGCUGAAAACUGCAAAACGAGUUGGCUUUCUCGCCAUCUGGGACUGCAAAAGUAGUACUGAAUUUCACAGACGAGUUGGGACCACAAUUGACUGAAAGCAACUUCCCAUCCCACCUGACGAAAGCGGCACACACACAUAGUGUUCAGUGACGUGCGAUCAACAAUGUUGGUAGGUGGGACCCCUUUAUUUUAACAUGUGAAUUAUGCGACUUUUAAUUUUAAUCAUCUCUUUUACUCUAAUGGAUAAUGUGAUGCAGAGUUUUUAUUUUUAUUUUUUACAUAAUAAAAUUUUCAUUUCAUUAAUCCUAUAUUAAAAUAAAUUCAUAUAUUUAUUUUUUAAAAUGUGUAUAAAUAAACUGAGAUUAAAUCUCCAUAUAUAUUUAAAUUAUAUCAAAUCAAAAUUUCAGGUUUAUUUCUUUGAAGGAGAUACAGUUUAAUUAUUUAUACAUACAUAUAUAUAUAUAUGAUAUUUUAAUUUAAUUAAAUAAAAAAAUAAAAAAAAUCUCACAAAUAUAGCAUUUUUUUGGGUGUAAUAUCAAUAUAAUUGAGUUAAUUAAAAUAAUAAGAUAUUGAUCACAUUUAGAAUGUGCUGAAUUGAAAGCAUUCAUCACGUGGUGAUAAAAAGGAGGAUGAUCAGGUCAGACUGAGAUGCGGAGAGUGGCAAAACCCCAAAACCCUAAACUAAAUAAACAGAUAGGCAUAGUAUCAUCUAAUUUCAUAUUUUAACAAAACAACAAAACUCCCCUCACUUCCUUGUCGCCAACCGCGUUAACUCACUAACAUAUGUUGCUUCUUCUAAUCAUAUUUAAUAUAAAUACAGACAUUUUCUUAUUUUACAUAAAUUUUGCCUACAAUACUGUGUUAAAAUAUUUUCGAGAUUUUUCAUAGAAAAAAAAACAUCAUUAUUGUUGGUAUGUUUCACUAAAAGCAGAAAAUUAGAAAUGAUUGGUUUUUUUUUUUGAUAAUUUUUUUAAAUUUGCUUUCAAUGAAACAAAUAUAAUAUUAUCUAUUUUUUUCAUAAUUGAUCUACAAAACUAAGUUUGAUUGUUAAUUAAAUUGAUAAACAACAUUAAUUCAAAAUGUUUUUUUUAUAAUAAUAUAAAAAACUAAAUUUAAAUAAUAAUGCAUUUGGGACUUGAGUUGAAAAAUUGUUUAAAUAAUAGCAUUGUUUAAAGAAUGAAUUGGGAUGAGAUGUGUACAAGCCCAAUUUCUGACCCAGGGCCCAAUAACAAAUUUUAACCUAAAAACUACCCAGGCCCAACUAGCCUAACCCAAUCAGCCCAAAACAUAAACACCUAGCAGAAACCCUAGCCCCCUGUUGUGCCGCACCUGCUCCUGGCCUCCUCACCUGCUCCGCCGUUCACCUGCUUUCCGCCAUUGCCCAACUGCCCACCUGCAAAACACGCAAAUAACAGCAACCACAAAAUGAAAAGAAAAAAGCAUGUAAUGUUGGCUAUAAAAGCCAAGUUUAUUCACUGUAAAAGGGGUUGGCCCCUUUGUUCUAUUGGCCUUAACGAAUCUAUUUCCCAGAAAUAAAAGAAACAAAGAAUUUGAAGGUGAUUUUGGUCUUUAUUAGAUUCGCAUUUUUUUUUAUCUCUUAUUUUUUCAUUUAUUUUAGAUAUCAAUAAUAUAAAAUAAAAGAGAGAAAAAGGAGAGGAAAAUUUUACCUUUGAAUUUUCCGACCACCGUGUACGGUGGCCGGCGCGACGCCGUCAAUGGCGGAAGAUCGCCGGAACCCAUGGCCGGACAUGGGGCCUGAGAGAGAAGGAGAGAGCUCUCUCUCUCUGUUUUUUUUUUAAAUGAUGAAAUUGAUUUGUUUUUUUUGGUUUUUCUUAUUAUUUAUACUAAACAUGAAACGACGUCGUUUUGGUGGGGAGGAUCCGCGCGUUGACCCGACCCAACCGCCUAGGAUCCACGUGUUUUCUAGCGCAUGGGUAAUUUGCGCACGCGGUCCUCCCUCUUUUGCGAUGGUUUUCAAUUUGGUCCAAGAACCAUGCGCCUGGGCCUUGGCAGAACGGCACCGUUUGGUUAACAUGGGAAUAUUUCCCAUUUGGCCCUUCUACUUUUCGCGUCCAUCACAAUUGGGUCCCUUUCUUUAUUUAUUUAUUUUCGAUUUCGCCCCAAAUGUUGCUCUUUUAUUAUUUUAGUCCUUUUCUAAUUUUUUUUAUUUUUUACUUUUAUUUUAUUAUUAAACCUAUUAUGUUAUUUACUGUUAUUAUUAUUAUCCUCAUAUUUUGUUUAUACUUAUUAUGUAAAUUUUAUAUAUAUAUGCUUCAUAUUAUAUUAUUAUUAUAUAAUUGCUUAUAUAUGUAUAUAGGUAUAUGUAUAUGUAUGUUUUUUUUAUAUACAUAAAUACUCUUUUUUUUCAUAUGUGUAUAUUUAUAUAUAUAUAUGCUCUUACAUAUUCAUUAUAUUUUCAAAAUAUAUUGUUUAUAUUUUUUGUACUUUGUGAUUUAUAUAUAUACUUACAUAUGUAUUUAUAUAUAUUUGAUGAUGGUUUUAUACGUAUACAUGUACGUGCAUAUAUGCAUGUAUUUUACGUCAAUAUGUUUAAAUGCGCGUAUGUUUUNNNNNNNNNNNNNNNNNNNNNNNNNNNNNNNNNNNNNNNNNNNNNNNNNNNNNNNNNNNNNNNNNNNNNNNNNNNNNNNNNNNNNNNNNNNNNNNNNNNNNNNNNNNNNNNNNNNNNNNNNNNNNNNNNNNNNNNNNNNNNNNNNNNNNNNNNNNNNNNNNNNNNNNNNNNNNNNNNNNNNNNNNNNNNNNNNNNNNNNNNNNNNNNNNNNNNNNNNNNNNNNNNNNNNNNNNNNNNNNNNNNNNNNNNNNNNNNNNNNNNNNNNNNNNNNNNNNNNNNNNNNNNNNNNNNNNNNNNNNNNNNNNNNNNNNNNNNNNNNNNNNNNNNNNNNNNNNNNNNNNNNNNNNNNNNNNNNNNNNNNNNNNNNNNNNNNNNNNNNNNNNNNNNNNNNNNNNNNNNNNNNNNNNNNNNNNNNNNNNNNNNNNNNNNNNNNNNNNNNNNNNNNNNNNNNNNNNNNNNNNNNNNNNNNNNNNNNNNNNNNNNNNNNNNNNNNNNNNNNNGUAAGAUGAAAGAAAGAAACGGCAAUAACCACUAACUGCCAAGUUUUCAUCACUACCCAUUGGUCGACAGGGUCUUUGUCGCUUUGUUACGUCACUCUCCACUUUUUGUCUUUAAUAUUUCUUAUGUCAGAAAUGACGUUAUCUGCCACUUCAAUACCCACGUGCCCGACAAUACCUGAUUACUUCCCCUAAGCCGUGUCUUGACGGUGUUACCAGCUGGCAUGACACUCUCUCAGGUCUCCGUAUAAAACUCUUCUCUGCUCUCUUCGGACUGAAACCUCGAAACUCAGACAGAGUUCAGUGUACAACGCUAAACAAAGUCAGAGACUUUUCAUAAUUCACCUCCAGUUCCCUUUCGCGCUUACACUGGGAUUUGUCCCGGCUCCGCCGCCGUUUAAUGUCGCCUCCUCCUCCGCCGCUUCAUCCUCUUUCUUCCGAACAAGAAAUCUCCGUCAUGGUUUCCACCCUCAAAACGUCAUCACUGGUUCCACUCCUUCCUCCUCCUCCGCUGACCUUCGUUUCGAUUUCGGUGCUCCCGGAGGUUCGGCUUCUACUUUUACUGGUGGGUUCAACGCUGAUCGCGGGAACAUGGUAUUUCAAGUGAGCGAAGUUCUGGAUAAGUGCCACGUGUGCAAAUUUGACGGUUGCCUGGGGUGCAAUCUUUUCCCGCCAAGUCAGCAAGAGGAAAAAAAAGGGACAACUAGUGCUACUACCAUCACCUCUGCAAUUAAAACUAAAACAAAACGAGUAAAGAAAAACUACAGAGGGGUCCGGCAAAGGCCAUGGGGCAAAUGGGCUGCUGAGAUUCGAGACCCAAGGCGUGCCACAAGGGUCUGGCUUGGAACCUUCAACACCGCGGAGGAAGCAGCUCGCGCUUACGAUAAAGCAGCUAUUGAUUUCCGGGGGCCAAGAGCUAAACUCAACUUCCCAUUCCCUGACAGUAACAGCAAAGCCGAUGUAAUACCGCCGCCGCCAGCUGCAGCAACUGCCGUGGGGUUUGAUCAUGAAAUUAGUAGCAGGUCUGUGCAAAAAGAAAAGGAAAGAAAUGAUGUGAUUAGCAUGGAAAUGGAUACUGAAAAAGGAUUGGGGUCGACUGAGUUUUGGGAUGCAAUAGGCGAAGAUGAGAUUCAACAAUGGAUGAUGACGAUGUCAGAAUUUGGUGGGGACAGUUACUCCUCCGAUUCAGCUACCACUACUGUUACUACCGGGAAUGUUCAUACUUUUUAAUCUCUCGAAGUUGAAUCUUGGGGUUUUACCGGCAUAGGACAGGCAGGCUCUUCCUUAUUUUAUAAAGAAAGAGUAAGAUGAUGGUGAUAAGUGAAAUUCUGUUUAGGGUGAUCAUUAUUUACUGUACAAUUCUAACUUCUCAAUGUCUGCUACUUCUUCAAUAUAUAAAAUGUGAUAUUAGUUAAUCAAACAUGGAAUUUUAUUUGUUUUUAUAGUAAUCAUUAAUUGAAUAAUUAAAUAAAAAAAGAAAUCACUUCCAUUUUCGAGGAAUCUAAAUCACACUGGUUUGGGGUGUUGGCAUGGAUGUGGGUGGUCACCACGCUGAAAACUGCAAAACGAGUUGGCUUUCUCGCCAUCUGGGACUGCAAAAGUAGUACUGAAUUUCACAGACGAGUUGGGACCACAAUUGACUGAAAGCAACUUCCCAUCCCACCUGACGAAAGCGGCACACACACAUAGUGUUCAGUGACGUGCGAUCAACAAUGUUGGUAGGUGGGACCCCUUUAUUUUAACAUGUGAAUUAUGCGACUUUUAAUUUUAAUCAUCUCUUUUACUCUAAUGGAUAAUGUGAUGCAGAGUUUUUAUUUUUAUUUUUUACAUAAUAAAAUUUUCAUUUCAUUAAUCCUAUAUUAAAAUAAAUUCAUAUAUUUAUUUUUUAAAAUGUGUAUAAAUAAACUGAGAUUAAAUCUCCAUAUAUAUUUAAAUUAUAUCAAAUCAAAAUUUCAGGUUUAUUUCUUUGAAGGAGAUACAGUUUAAUUAUUUAUACAUACAUAUAUAUAUAUAUGAUAUUUUAAUUUAAUUAAAUAAAAAAAUAAAAAAAAUCUCACAAAUAUAGCAUUUUUUUGGGUGUAAUAUCAAUAUAAUUGAGUUAAUUAAAAUAAUAAGAUAUUGAUCACAUUUAGAAUGUGCUGAAUUGAAAGCAUUCAUCACGUGGUGAUAAAAAGGAGGAUGAUCAGGUCAGACUGAGAUGCGGAGAGUGGCAAAACCCCAAAACCCUAAACUAAAUAAACAGAUAGGCAUAGUAUCAUCUAAUUUCAUAUUUUAACAAAACAACAAAACUCCCCUCACUUCCUUGUCGCCAACCGCGUUAACUCACUAACAUAUGUUGCUUCUUCUAAUCAUAUUUAAUAUAAAUACAGACAUUUUCUUAUUUUACAUAAAUUUUGCCUACAAUACUGUGUUAAAAUAUUUUCGAGAUUUUUCAUAGAAAAAAAAACAUCAUUAUUGUUGGUAUGUUUCACUAAAAGCAGAAAAUUAGAAAUGAUUGGUUUUUUUUUUUGAUAAUUUUUUUAAAUUUGCUUUCAAUGAAACAAAUAUAAUAUUAUCUAUUUUUUUCAUAAUUGAUCUACAAAACUAAGUUUGAUUGUUAAUUAAAUUGAUAAACAACAUUAAUUCAAAAUGUUUUUUUUAUAAUAAUAUAAAAAACUAAAUUUAAAUAAUAAUGCAUUUGGGACUUGAGUUGAAAAAUUGUUUAAAUAAUAGCAUUGUUUAAAGAAUGAAUUGGGAUGAGAUGUGUACAAGCCCAAUUUCUGACCCAGGGCCCAAUAACAAAUUUUAACCUAAAAACUACCCAGGCCCAACUAGCCUAACCCAAUCAGCCCAAAACAUAAACACCUAGCAGAAACCCUAGCCCCCUGUUGUGCCGCACCUGCUCCUGGCCUCCUCACCUGCUCCGCCGUUCACCUGCUUUCCGCCAUUGCCCAACUGCCCACCUGCAAAACACGCAAAUAACAGCAACCACAAAAUGAAAAGAAAAAAGCAUGUAAUGUUGGCUAUAAAAGCCAAGUUUAUUCACUGUAAAAGGGGUUGGCCCCUUUGUUCUAUUGGCCUUAACGAAUCUAUUUCCCAGAAAUAAAAGAAACAAAGAAUUUGAAGGUGAUUUUGGUCUUUAUUAGAUUCGCAUUUUUUUUUAUCUCUUAUUUUUUCAUUUAUUUUAGAUAUCAAUAAUAUAAAAUAAAAGAGAGAAAAAGGAGAGGAAAAUUUUACCUUUGAAUUUUCCGACCACCGUGUACGGUGGCCGGCGCGACGCCGUCAAUGGCGGAAGAUCGCCGGAACCCAUGGCCGGACAUGGGGCCUGAGAGAGAAGGAGAGAGCUCUCUCUCUCUGUUUUUUUUUAAAUGAUGAAAUUGAUUUGUUUUUUUUGGUUUUUCUUAUUAUUUAUACUAAACAUGAAACGACGUCGUUUUGGUGGGGAGGAUCCGCGCGUUGACCCGACCCAACCGCCUAGGAUCCACGUGUUUUCUAGCGCAUGGGUAAUUUGCGCACGCGGUCCUCCCUCUUUUGCGAUGGUUUUCAAUUUGGUCCAAGAACCAUGCGCCUGGGCCUUGGCAGAACGGCACCGUUUGGUUAACAUGGGAAUAUUUCCCAUUUGGCCCUUCUACUUUUCGCGUCCAUCACAAUUGGGUCCCUUUCUUUAUUUAUUUAUUUUCGAUUUCGCCCCAAAUGUUGCUCUUUUAUUAUUUUAGUCCUUUUCUAAUUUUUUUUAUUUUUUACUUUUAUUUUAUUAUUAAACCUAUUAUGUUAUUUACUGUUAUUAUUAUUAUCCUCAUAUUUUGUUUAUACUUAUUAUGUAAAUUUUAUAUAUAUAUGCUUCAUAUUAUAUUAUUAUUAUAUAAUUGCUUAUAUAUGUAUAUAGGUAUAUGUAUAUGUAUGUUUUUUUUAUAUACAUAAAUACUCUUUUUUUUCAUAUGUGUAUAUUUAUAUAUAUAUAUGCUCUUACAUAUUCAUUAUAUUUUCAAAAUAUAUUGUUUAUAUUUUUUGUACUUUGUGAUUUAUAUAUAUACUUACAUAUGUAUUUAUAUAUAUUUGAUGAUGGUUUUAUACGUAUACAUGUACGUGCAUAUAUGCUUAUGUAUUUUCACGUCCAAUAGUUUUAAAUAAGGUGUACAUGCGUAUGUUUUUCAUAUUUUCAUGCUUAUGUGUAUACGUGUUUAUGUAUCUUUAUAAUUAUAUGAUUUUUGUUGAUUUUGUUCAUUUAUUUAUUUACAUGUUUAUUAUUGUUUAUUUUCUUACUUUAGUUUUUUUCGUUUGUUAUUUCGCCCGUAUAAUUGUUUUUAUUGUUUAUUAUUUUGCUUGUAUCAUUUUAUUUACAUUGUCAUCAUUAUCAUUAUUUUGCAUUCAUUUUUACUCGGAUUUAUCAAAAAAACAAAAAAAUCUAAAAUAAAAGUAACACUCGGUAUUUUAGAUCUUCGAGAGAAUCGAGCCCUAACGUAUUGGGUUCUGAUUUUCUUCGUUGAAUUUAAAUAAUCGAGAUUACUCUUUCAAAAAUGAUAACAAGCUCGUUAUCAAGAAUUCAAUACGUUGUGUCCUAACGCAUUGGAUGUGACAUGUUGCUUUCUCGAAACGAGAAUUUUUCGAAAUAAAUGUAAUAUUCAGUGUUUAAUAUUUUGAUAAAUUGUGCCCUAACGUAUUGGGUUGCGAUUUCUUCAUUUGAUUUAAACAAUUGAAUAUUCUUUUAAACUUUAUUACACGAUUUUUUUUUUCAAUAUCGGCAAUUAAAAAAGGAUCGUGUCCUAACUUAAUGGUUGUGAUCCCUUUUUUAAUCCAAGAUAAUUAAAUAUCUUCUAAAUAAGCACUUUUCAUACGCGUAUCGGGAAUUCGAGACAUUGUGUCCUCCUUACUGGAUAUGAUUCUCUUUUUCGAAUAACGUGAAAUACCCUCCUUUUCUUGGAAAAUUUUCAACGUUUUAAUACAAGGAUCGUAUUUUUAAAAUUCUUCAAAGUUUUCAACCUUCGACAUUAAGACAUUAACUAAUCAACUAGGUACCAAUUUUGGGCGUUACGAGGGUGCUAAUCCUUCCUCGUACGUAACUGACUCCCGAACCCGUUUUUAAAUUUCGUGGACCAAACUUGUUGUUUUAAUAAAAUCAAAUCGUUUAUUAAAAACAACCACUUUUCGAGGUGAUCCAAUCACACCUCAUAAAAAAGGAUUGGUGGCGACUCCCGUUUCAUUUUUCAAAACCCAAGUUGACCCCGUUUUCAUCAAAAAAAUGGUGCCAACAGCUUGGCGACUCCGCUGGGGAACCACAAUAAGUGAGUCGAGCCACGAGUUGAUUAUUUUUUGUCUUUUUGUCGAAAAUCAAAAACUUGGUUUAAAUAUACGAUCCUUUCAUCGCAUUUCAUUGCUCUUUAUUACAAUUUUCAUCGUUGUGGUUUAUAAUUGCUGUGUUAGUUUAAGUUUUUGUAUCUUUCUGCACAUUGCAUUGCAUGACCGUUGGUCACACCCUUUUAAGUGGGAGUGAGAAACUACGCCUUCGUGAGGUUUUCACCUCCGCAUGGGAUAGUGAAUCGCUUUCGGGAUACAUCCGUACCUAUGUUUUCGUGAGAUUUUCAUCUCCGCAUGGCCAUAGGGAAAUGUAUUCCCCUGAGCCAAACUCGGUCUGUAUGAGCCUAUAAUGGGUAAAGAUCGAGGAAUCUGCUGGUUCAGGUACCCUACUUUAGAACCAAACCACAUGUAAUGAGCCAUAGGAACUGACCUAGGUAGAGCUACUCUAAAUUUUUAGUGCUUACCUAAAUGAAUGUUGUAUUUAUUUGUCGCUUAUUUUAAAUCUUAUUCUGUGUUUAAUGCUAAUUUACUUUGUUUGUGAUUGCAUGGCAUCUUCAUUCUAAAAGAGGUGUCGAUUUACGUUCAGUUUCUUGGUAGAAAGCUUAUCAUGGAAAAGGGGUUUGUUGAUAAAGUAGAGGAUAAUGCGGCUGUGCGAAUAUGGGCUGAAACGACACAACGGGAGAAAGGCGAUAGUCUUACCGAAGGGUACGUGUCAGAAUUGUGGGAUUUUACCCUUAUCAGUGUAAUCCAGAAUGACCUUCGAGAAAUGAAAGAAGUCUGGGAUCAAUGGGAUGUCGAGGCCAAGCAGCUGUUCUAUUGUAACUACGGUGACCUACCUUAUCUGCUUAGUGUCAAAGUGGACAAGUAUUUAUUCCGAGCCCUUGCUCAGUUUUGGAAUCCUGCCUACAGUUGUUUCACUUUUGGGAAGGUAGAUUUGACGCCUACUGUGGAAGAGUAUACGACCUUGCUUCGGUGCCCAAAGAUUCAAGUUGACAAGGCUUAUUCCAGAGCUGCUUGUGUCCCUCCGUUGUUAAAGAAAUUAAUGAACAUCACUGGGAUGAGCGAGCAGUGGGUCGCUGCCCGGAUCCAACAGAAGGGCGACAGUAAAUGUGUUCCUUGGAAAAGUUUGCGAGAUUUGGUGCUUGUACAUCCUGACUUAAAGAAAAGGGUCGAUAUCUUUGCUUUAGGUAUCUAUGGACUAGUGGUUUUCCCCAAAGCUUUAGGACACAUAGACGAGGCUGUAUCUGAUUUGUUUGAUCGGCUUAGUAAAGGGGUUACACCGGUUUCGGUAAUACUCGCUGAAACUUUUAGAUCCUUGAAUGCGUGUCGAAAAGCAGGGGAGGGAAGGUUUAUUGGAUGCGCGCAGCUCUUAUUGGCAUGGUUCCAUAGCCACUUCUGGAAAGUCGAAAAGGUCUCUUAUCGGGUAUUCUCUGAUAGCUACUCCCCUCUAGGAGAAUUGGUGGUCACGCCAAGACGGGAUGAUAUUUCAGAAGAAAAAUGGAUAGAGAUACUCCAGAAUCUCCAGGAUGAAGAUAUUGAAUGGAGGGCUCCUUGGUUAAUUCCUGAUGAGAUAUUGUACCGAUGUGGAGAUUUUGACUGGGUUCCGCUGCUCGGGAUAUGGGGAGCUAUCGGAUAUGCUCCUCUACUCGUAUCAAGACAGUAUAGAUCACGACAAUUCAUACCAGCAACGCAGGGGUUGGCUUAUAGUGAUUUUUCCUAUAGGGAGGACAAUUACAAGAAGAAGGUUCGAGAAAUAUCUAGUGCUUGGAACCAGACUCGUCGAAUGAAGAUCUUAGCCGUGGGUCCGACAAUUACCCCCGAGUAUGGUCAGUGGCGUGAUCAAAGGAUCAACGACAACAUCCCGGCGUCAAAUUCAGAAACUGCUCGAUCUUUAGAGGAACACUUACAAGUUUUGCCUUCUGAGAUAGAAAUCAUCAAACAAGAAUUCGAAAAAAGGAGUUUAGAAUUGGGGAAGAAGAUAGAACAACUAGAGGAAGAAAAGAUGCAGUUAGGACUGGAUGUGGACAUUCAAAGAUUAGAGGCUGAUAAAUUGAGAAAAGGAAAGAACAAAGCAGAAGAAGAUUUGGACAGCCUGAAGACAGAUUACAAGAAGUUGCGUAGGUCGGUAAGAGCUGCUGGCUUGGGUAAAACGCCAGAGCAAUGGCGACAAGAAAUUCAGGAGGAAAAGACGAAAGUUAAUCAAUGGGAAAAGAAAUUUCAGGAUACUCGGGCUCGAGAAGUCGCAUUGGGAAAGAGUCUACUAGUUUGCCAAGACGAAAAGACGGAGUUGAAGGUCCGGAUAACUGAACUAGAAAGAUCGCUUCACCAGUACUGUAAUCGUAAUGCUACGCUUGAAUUAAGGGCGAGCUUAGACAAAAUUGAAGAAUUAAAAGGACACAUAGGAGGGCUAGAGAAUGCAUUGCAAAAUAGUGAAAUCCGGAUAGAGCUUCUGGAAGAAAAUAAUGAGCAGUGGCAAAGACAAUUCCGUCGGUCUCAAGAGCAGAUUAGAAAAAGAUAUUAUAUUAUGGGAGAGGCGGUGACUCAAGUGCGCGAAGUAGCUGAUCAUCUGCAAACUCUAGCGGUUCAGGCUGAUCUAUUAAGUUUGAAGUAUGAGUUAGAGUCGGACAGGGGCCGAGAGUUAGCUUGGCUUCUUAGAAAGGUUAAGGCUUUGAGUGUAAGGGCAAAGCCAUAUAUGUAGUCUAUUUUAUGUAAAGAAACUCUUUAUCUAGUAAAGUUUUCUAAUGAAGUUGAAUUAGAAUCAGUGCCUCUUUUUUCUUUGCAUUCUUUUCAUGCAUUGCAUCACAUCACAUGCAUUAAUGACCAUUAAAAACCUAAUCGAAUAAAAUCAUUUCAGUUAACCUGGAAAACCAACAAAGUUACGGCACCCGAGCUAAGACAAAAAUUAUGGACCAAAGGUUGGAGAAGUUAGAGCGACUUCAAAAAGAAAUGCAAGACCAGUUGCAGGCGCAAAUGAAAGAGCAAAUAGAAAAGAUUCAGCGUGACAUGGUGCAAAAGAUGGAGGAGUCCCAAAAUGAUCUGGUGGCUAAAAUGACGCAAUUAUUGAAGGGAGUAGAUAAGGGUAAAGGUCCUGUGAUUGUUAGUGAAGAAGGAAACAAUGGUGAACCACUUUAUCCUCCAGGUUUCACGCCUCCGCAUGCUCAAGUACAGACCGAGCUGCAUCCGCGGAGACCCUCUGUGUCGGUUAGGCCCCAGCAGUUCCAAGGUGAUGCUUCAAUCCCAAUGAAUUUUCAACCCGGAGCGGGCUUUAAUCCCGGUGAUAGCCCGAAUAAUAUUACUGUCCCAGAUCUUGACGAGAUGGUUGAAAAGGACAAGGCGAAGGAGGAAUUUCCAAAACAAUUUGAGGAGAAAUGGAAAUGGAUAGAAGAGAAGUUUAGGGCAAUAGAAAUCAUCGAAAGCUAUGGAAUAGAUGCAAAGGAUCUGAGCUUGGUUCCGGACUUGGUGCUCCCUUACAAAUUUAAGAUGCCGGAAUUUGAGAAAUACAACGGGACUAGUUGCCCAGGAUCCCAUAUUACUAUGUUUUGUAGAAGAAUGACGGGGCAUAUUAAUAAUGAUCAAUUAUUAAUACAUUGCUUUCAGGAAAGUCUUACGGGAGCGGCGUCAAAGUGGUACAGUCAGCUGAGCCGAGCUAAAAUUGCUACUUGGAGGGAUUUAGCACAGGCUUUCCUGAGACAAUACAAUCAUGUCUCAGAAAUGAUGCCUGACAGGAUAACUCUGCAAAAUUUAGAGAAGAAAUCGAACGAAAGCUUCAGACAAUAUGCGCAGAGGUGGCGAGAGGUGGCGAUUCAGGUGCAACCACCGCUUUUGGAAAAAGAGAUGACGACGCUUUUUAUUAAUACUUGGAAAGCCCCGUUCAUCACUCACAUGUUGGAAAGCGCUUCAAAAAAUUUCUCGGAUAUAAUCAUGAAUGGGGAAAUGAUUGAGCAUGCCAUUAAAAGUGGAAAAAUAGAUGGAGGAGAAAAUAAUAGGAGGGCACCCUUGAGGAAAAGAGAAAAUGAAGUGAAUAAUGUGAAUGCUUAUGGUAGGUCAAUUACCGUGAAUCAACCAAAGAAAGUGGUUGCUAAUCAACAGGGAUCAUCAAGACAAGAGUCGGGAGCUAGGCAAACUACUGAAAAGCCCCAAUUCACGCCAAUCCCGAUGUCAUACAAGGAGUUGUAUCAGACUUUAUUCGAUGCACAUGUUGUUGCUCCUCGUUACUUGAGUCCUCUACAACCCCCGUAUCCAAAAUGGUAUGAUAUGAACGCGCAAUGUGAUUAUCAUGCGGGAAUUUCUAGGCACUCGAUAGAAAAUUGUACUGCCUUCAAGAAGGUAGUAGAAGGACUUAUCAAUUUAGGUGUCGUCAAACUUGACGACUCACCUAACGCAAAGAAUUCGUUACCUAAUCACACAGAUAAGGGGGUGAAUAUGGUUAGCAAAGGUACGGGAGAAGAAGUCAAGACUGACAUUGCUGAAGUAAAAACUCCAUUGAAACGGGUCUGGAAAGAAAUGGCGAAAAGAGGUUUGGUUAUUUCAGAUUCUGAGGAAGGGCAUGAGAUGGGAAAUUAUUGUGAAUUUCACCAUAAAACAGGGCACGAAAUCCAAGAAUGUGAAGGAUUUAAGGCUUUGGUUCAAAGCAUGAUGGAUAACAAGGAGAUGAGGUUUUACGAAGAUGCGAAAGAAAUGAGGAGCAUAUGCGCGACAGAGUUGGGAACAAAGGCUCCAAAAAUAAGUAAUCCUGUGGUCAUUAUCUCACGCCCUAAGGGUAAUGAGGUCAGGGCUCAGGUAACACCGAAAAUUGUAAUCCAGAAACCAUCAAAUUUCUCUUAUAGGGAUAACAAAAUGGUGCCGUGGAAUUACGGGUGUAAUGUGACCAUUUUGGGAAAAGAAGCAGAAAGAAAUCAGGAAAUAGGUUCUUACACGCGCAAUGGAAAAAGAUAUGACGCUCAAGCAGAGUCGUCCAAGGAAGAGAAUUGGAAGAAAGAACAGAGGAAAGGGAAAGCAGUAGAAGUUGAACCAUUGGUAAAUGAACCAAUAAAAGAAGAGGAGGCAAAGGAGUUUUUGAAGUUUUUGAAACACAGUGAAUACAGUGUUGUGGAGCAACUGCACAAACAGCUAGCCCGUAUUUCUGUAUUAGCUUUACUCUUAAACUCAGAAGUACAUCGAAAUGCACUAUUAAAGGUGCUAAACGAAACAUAUGUGGCUGACGAUAUUUCGGUAGACAAGCUAGACCGGCUGAUCAACAAUAUUGGUGCUGACAAUUUUAUCUUCUUCAGUGAUGAUGAAAUACCAUCCGGAGGAAGAGGUUCUACUAAAGCCCUGCAUGUUACUGUCCGAUGCAAAGGGUACACACUCCCGGGGGCCUUGGUUGAUAAUGGAUCUGCACUAAAUGUAUUACCUUUGUCCACUCUUAAUCGAUUACCAAUAGACAGUUCGCACAUGAAAGCAUGCCAGAGCAUAGUAAGGGCAUUUGAUGGAACAAAAAAGGAGGUUAUGGGGAGAAUUGAGGUACCAUUAAGGAUUGGCCCAGUCACUUAUGAGGUGGAUUUCUUGGUAAUGGAUAUUAAACCCUCCUACAACUGUCUAUUGGGGAGACCGUGGAUACACUCAGCAGGGGCAGUACCUUCAUCAUUACAUCAGAAGGUGAAGUUGGUAUCGGAGGAUCGGUUGGUAAUAAUAGAUGCAGAGGAGGAUAUUAUCGCAAUGAUGACUAGCGAUGCACCUUAUGUGGACAUCAACGAUGAGGCACUAGAAUGUUCUUUUCGGUCGUUAGAAUUUGUGAAUGCGAUGUUUAUUGCGGAGGGAAAUAGAAUUCCAGUACCGAAAAUAUCCAUGACCACUGAGAUGGGAUUGCGAUUGAUGGUAGGAAGAAGAGCCUUACCCGGGAAAGGAUUGGGAAAAUAUCUUCAGGGAAGGAUUGAGGCACCAAUGCCGAAGGAAAAGUUUGAUAGAUUUGGUUUAGGGUACAAGCCAUACAUGAAGCAGAAGAAGAAAGAAGUAGAGAAGAGACAAGAGAGAAGGAGGGCGCGUUUGAAUGGACAUGAAGCUAAGUGUGAACCUUUAACCUUUCCCCACAUAUCUACAUCUUUUGUGUCGGGAGGAUUUAUUCAUUCUGAAUGUGGAGUGUCCGGUAGCGGCAUGGGAGGAAUGUUGGAAAACGUUUAUACCAACGCCAUAGAAGCGACGGAAAGGAGGACUUUGUUGGAGAUCUGCCCUUAUGAGCCUGGAAACGAGCUAAACAAUUGGACUGCUGAAGAAAUCCCUGUAGUCUUUAGGGCUUAUUCAGAGUAAUGCUCAAAACAUUCCUGUUGUUUGUUGGCCUAGAAACGAUAUGAAAUCUUUUGUGAAAUAGGCAUUGGGCCUAAAUAUCAUUAUUUUAAUGAAAUACGUGUCUACGUUCAUCUCGAUCAGUCAUUUUUUUUCCUUUUAUAUUUUUCAUUCGGUUGAUUGUCUUACAAAUAAUUCUUUCAUUUGUAAUUCUUUUGCACAAACAUAUUCAUAAAUUUAUAUUCUUGGUAUAUUCUUUGAUAUGCCCUCAUAGGUCUUCAGAUAUCAAUGACAUGAGUGACGCUGCCUCAAACACGGAGCCUAUUUUUGAGCAAGAAGUGUGUUCAGAGGGAUCCCACGACUUUGAAAAUGACGAAGAUUAUGAUGCAUCUCCGGACUUGUUAAGAAUGAUGGAACAAGAGGAUAAGCAUAUCCUACCUCAUAGGGAAUCGUUAGAAAUAGUGAGCCUAGAGGAUGGAAAGGAGGUGAAAAUUGGAACUGAAAUCACCGCAAAGACAAGGCAAGACCUCAUUAAUUUGCUCCGAGAGUUCAAGGAUGUUUUCGCGUGGUCGUACCAAGAUAUACCUGGGCUAAGUACUAACAUUGUGGUGCAUCGUCUGCCCAUAAAGGAGGAUUGUAAACCCGUUCAACAGAAGCUUAGGAGAAUGAGACCUGACAUUGUGUUGAAAAUAAGAGAAGAAGUCAAAAAACAAUUCGACGCUGGUUUCUUACAAGAGGUCAAGUAUUCGGAUUGGGUAGCCAACAUCGUCCCUGUUCCCAAAAAAGAUGGAAAGGUACGAAUGUGUAUGGAUUAUAGGGAUUUAAACAAGGCUAGUCCAAAGGACAACUUUCCACUGCCUCACAUUGAUACUUUGGUAGAUAACACGGCGGGCUAUUCAUUGUUUUCUUUCAUGGACGGUUUCUCUAGAUACAAUCAAAUAAAGAUGCAUCCUGGAGACAUGAGGAAAACCACAUUCAUUACCUUAUGGGGAACAUUCUGUUACAAGGUAAUGCCCUUCGGAUUGAAGAAUGCGGGAGCAACGUAUCAAAGAGCUAUGGUGACUUUGUUUCACGACAUGAUGCACAAGGAGAUCGAAGUCUAUGUUGACGAUAUGAUCGCAAAGUCUAGAACGGAAGAAGAGCAUGUUCAGGUCUUAAAAAGGUUAUUUUUGAGAUUAAAGAAAUUUCAGCUCAAACUUAACCCGGCCAAAUGCACGUUUGGAGCCAGAUCAGAGAAGUUAUUAGGCUUCAUAGUUAGCAAAAAGGGGAUCGAGGUUGACCCAGACAAAGUAAAGGCAAUACGAGAUUUACCUCCCCGCGCACUCAGAAGGAGGUUCGAGGUUUCCUAGGGAGGCUGAAUUACAUUGCUCGGUUCAUCUCACAACUGACAGAGAAAUGUGAUCCAGUAUUCUGGCUCUUAAAGAAAUAUAAUCCGGGCGAAUGGGAUGAAGAGUGUCAGAGGGCUUUCGAUAAGAUAAAGCAGUACUUGGCUAAUACUCCAGUCUUAUCACCUCCAAGUCCAGAUAGGCCAUUGAUAUUGUAUCUAACAGUGUUGGAUAAUUCCAUGGGAUGCGUAUUGGGCCAACAUGAUGAGACGGGAAAGAAAGAAAGGGCAAUAUACUAUCUCAGUAAGAAAUUUACCGAUUGCGAAAUGAGGUACUCAUCAAUUGAGAAGUUGUGUUGUGCUCUAAUCUGGGCAACCCGAAGACUGAGGCAGUAUAUGUUGUAUCACACGACUUGGCUGAUUUCAAAGUUAGAUCCUUUAAAAUAUAUGAUGGAAUCGACUGCUUUGAACGGGAGAAUGGCUAGGUGGCAGAUCUUGCUCUCAGAAUUUGAUAUAGUAUAUGUCAGUCAGAAGGCAAUAAAGGGAAGUGCAAUAGCCGAUUUCCUAGCUAGUAGAGCUUUGGAGGACUAUGAAUCUUUGAAUUUCGAUUUUCCAAACGAGGACUUGAUGUAUGUGGCGAAUACUGAAGAAAAUCCUCAAAUGGAUCACGUAUGGAAGUUAAAUUUUGAUGGAGCUUCAAAUGCUACGGGUAAUGGAGUUGGGGCAGUCUUGGUAUCCCCAAGUGGAGAUCAUUAUCCUGUUGCUAGCAAGUUGGACUUCGAUUGUACAAAUAACAUGGCAGAAUAUGAAGCAUGUAUUAUGGGCAUUCGUGCAGCCAUUGAACGGAACAUCAAAGUACUGAGAGUAUACGGGGAUUCAGCGUUGGUGAUAUACCAACUCAAAGGGGAGUGGGAGACUAGAGAUCCUAAGCUAAUCGGUUAUAGAAAACUAGUUCUUGAAUUGUCUGAGGAGUUUGACGAUAUCACCUUCUAUUACCUUCCACAGGAGGAAAACCAAAUGGCUGAUGCAUUAGCUACUCUAGCUUCGAUGAUUCAGGUGAAUAGACUUGAGGCAAUGAGGCCUGUUCAGAUGAGUAUCUCUGAGACCCCGGCUAAUUGCUGCAAUAUUGAGGAGGAGGGAAAAGAUGAUUGUCCUUGGUAUCGGAGUAUCUUACAAUAUGUGAAGAAUCGGGAAUACCCUGAUCAAGCGACAGAGAAUGACAAAAGAACUCUGAGAAAGAUAGCCAUUGAAUAUGUCUUAGAUGGAGAAGUGUUAUAUAAAAGAAGGAAGGAUCAAGUACUGUUAAGAUGUGUGGAUCCUGUAGAAGCCAAGAAAAUUUUGGAAGAAGUCCAUGAGGGUAUUUGUGGGACGCACGCCAGUGGUUUCACGAUGGCCAGACAGAUCAUGAGAUUUGGGUACUAUUGGCCCACCAUGGAAGGAGAUUGUAUUGAUCAUGCCAGGAAGUGCCACAAAUGCCAAAUUUACGGAGACAAAAUACACGCGCCUCCUUCACCUCUUCACGUCAUGACCUCUCCUUGGCCGUUUUCCAUGUGGGGUAUGGAUGUUAUUGGGCCAAUAUCACCAAAGGCUUCUAAUGGGCAUCGCUUCAUCUUCGUAGUAAUUGAUUACUUUACCAAGUGGGUGGAAGCUGCUUCAUAUGCAAAUGUCACGAAAGCAGUAGUCAGCAAAUUCUUGAAGAAAGAGAUCAUUUGUCGAUAUGGAAUGCCUGAGAGGAUCAUAUCCGACAAUGCGAUGAACUUGAAUAAUAGCUCAAUAGCUGAAGUUUGUAGCAAAUUUAAAAUUAAGCAUCAUAACUCAUCGCCGUAUCGUCCCAAAAUGAAUGGUGCAGUGGAGGCGGCCAAUAAAAACAUUAAAAGGAUUGUGGGGAAAAUGACUGAAACCUACAAGGAUUGGCAUGAGAAACUAUCAUUUGCUCUCCUUGCCUAUCGAACAUCUGUUAGAACUUCUACUGGGGCAACGCCUUUUUCUCUGGUUUAUGGAAUGGAGGCAGUAUUACCCAUUGAAGUUGAAAUCCCUUCUCUACGGGUGUUAUCUGAGCUACAGUUGGAUGAAGCCGAUUGGAUCCAAUCUCGGUACGAUCAGUUGAACCUAAUAGAAGAAAAGAGGCUAAGAGCUAUUCACCACGGGCAAAUGUACCAGAAACGAAUGAUGCGAGCCUAUAAUAAAAAGGUUUGCCCCCGAGAAUUUCGUGAAGGGGACUUGGUACUAAAAAAGAUUCUUCCUAUGCAAAAAGAUUUUAGAGGAAAAUGGAUGCCAAAUUGGGAAGGCCCUUAUGUUGUAAAGAAGGCCUUUUCCGGCGGAGCUUUGAUCCUAUGCGAGAUGGAUGACAAAAGUUUACCAAAUCCUGUAAACGCAGACUCCGUCAAGAAAUACUUCACUUGAAAGAAAGGGGAACCAAAGUGAAAACCCGUAAAGGGCGCUUUGCUUCCUAAAAAAAAAAAGGGGAGACUUUGGAGAGGCUAAGGUGAAAACCCGUAAAGGGCACUUUGAGACCAAAGAGGGCUUGAGUCGAAAACCCGAAAAGGGCGACUCAAGUAUUGGGCAGGAUUGGAACAUCAGGACUUGAGCGGAUCAAAUUUUGAUCAGGGGCAUAUGAUGAUCUUGCUUUACCAAUAAGGAAGGAUAUGCAACGUCUUGGAACAUUGACAGAGUAUUGCAGAUCUCCUGAACACAUGUCAAACUCAGAAGGGUCUUCGGAAAGUUUGUACAGAGAAACUAAGCGGCGAUAACUGGGGCACCUAGUUCUUAUGUGUAUUCUUGAAAAUACAUUUUUUUUAUUUUCUUUCUUUCUUCCUUUCCUUUUGUGAAAACGCACAUUCUCAAUCCACUUCUUUGUUACCUUUCUUUCGCCAUCUUUGAUGUUUUAUUUGAGUUAUGAUCAGAACUAGCUUUAUUCUUAUCCAUUGUUAUGAUCUUUUUGCAAACAUGUUGCAUAGGAAUAAUGAUUAACGAACUAAUAAAACUUUCAGGAAAGAAGUUUUGCACAUUACUCUGGAAAAUUUCUAAAUAAUAUAGGGACCUGAAACAUGACUAUUGUUUAGAAAAUACCAAGUUUAAAGGGUGAAAUAGCUAGGAAAGAAGAGUCUAAGUUAAAGACUAUCCUUUCAGAUUUCGUUGUCUAAACAUUGAUUGAACAAAAUGACAAGCUGUCGUGUUAAUUACAAAGCUUAAAUGAACAAGCAAGCAAUGAUCAUCAAGCAAUAGGAAGAGGUUACCUCGGAGAAGAGAGCCUUCACUUGCGCAUAAGACUUUGGUACGACACUUUGAGAAUGGUGUAGGAAACCAGAACGGUUCAGAUCCUAUAUCCCCGGAUUGUGAUAAAAGAGGACAGAGGAAAAGCCACAUAUUUCUACCCUUAGAUUACUGUGAGAGAAUGAUGGUACAAAUUUUGGCGUCCCAGUGGAUAUAACUCUGAGGUUUACAAUGGGGACAGUCUGGCUAAAUGUUCCUUCAGAAAAAUCAGUCAAGCGAGAAGGCGUUGUAGCACGUCAGUCACAAAACCUUGAUAAACUGCGAGUAGUGAUAACCUAAGCGAGAUCAUUCUCGGAAAAAUAAAAUUCUGCAUUCAUGCAAACACCAUUCACAUAUGUCUAGUUAGGAGCAUUUGUUUCAUUUUGAUCAUGUCAUCCUAAUCAUUAGGCAUAAUUAGGUUCAUUAUACAGGUCUUAUCUCCCUGAGAUUACAGGGGAACAGACCAAAGAAUUUCAGAUCUUAUCUCCUUGAGGUUACAGCGGAGCAGAUUGAAGCCAGAGAUCUUAUCUCCCUGAGAUUACAGCGGAGCAGAUCAAAGAUAGUAAUCCUAUCUCCUUGAGAUUACAAUGGAGCGGAUUAAAGGAUCUUAUCUCUCUGAAGUUACAGUAGAGAAGAUCACAUCAGGUCUUAUUUCCCUAAGAUUACAGUGGAACAGACCAAAGAAUUUCAGAUCUUAUCUCCCUGAGAUUACAGCGGAGCAGAUCGAAGACACUAUCCUAUCUCCCUAAAGUUACAGUGGAGCGGAUUAAAAUAAAGGAUCUUAUCUCUCUGAGGUUACAGCAGAGUAGAUCGCAUCAAGUCUUAUUUCCCUGAAGAUGCAGUGGAACAGACUGAAAACAAGUCAUGUCCCCCUAAAGUUGUAGCGGAGCGGACAGUAGAUGGCAAUUCUUAUCAUGUCUAAUCUUAUUCCCCUAAAGUUGUAGUGGAAUAGAUGGAAGCGAAGUCACAAACCUUGUCUCUCUGAAGUUGCAGUAAAGCAGGUUGAAGUCACGAAUCUUAUCCCCCUGAAGUUGUAGUGGGGCAAGUUGAAGAUAUGAGUCCGAUCUCCCUGAAGUUGCAGUGGAGCGGGUCAAAAUGAUGGACCUUACCCCCUGAAGCUACAAUAGAGUGGAUUGAAGCUACAAGUUUUGUCUUUUGGAAGUUACAGUGGAGUGGGUCGACACAACAAGACACAGUGGACUAGAAUAAAGUUACUUGAAAAGAAGCGUCAAGAGAAGUCAAUACUCGGCAAAGACUGGACAAAAAUUGGUCUUUCUUAGUCUUUGCUCUGUUAUCGUUACACGACAACGAGCAAAGAGGGGCAGCUGUACAAGCCCAAUUUUUGACCCAGGGCCCAAUAACAAAUUUUAACCUAAAAACUACCCAGGCCCAACUAGCCUAACCCAAUCAGCCCAAAACAUAAACACCUAGCAGAAACCCUAGCCCCCUGUUGUGCCGCACCUGCUCCUGGCCUCCUCACCUGCUCCGCCGUUCACCUGCUUUCCGCCAUUGCCCAACUGCCCACCUGCAAAACACGCAAAUAACAGCAACCACAAAAUGAAAAGAAAAAAGCAUGUAAUGUUGGCUAUAAAAGCCAAGUUUAUUCACUGUAAAAGGGGUUGGCCCCUUUGUUCUAUUGGCCUUAACGAAUCUAUUUCCCAGAAAUAAAAGAAACAAAGAAUUUGAAGGUGAUUUUGGUCUUUAUUAGAUUCGUAUUUUUUUUAUCUCUUAUUUUUUCAUUUAUUUUAGAUAUCAAUAAUAUAAAAUAAAAGAGAGAAAAAGGAGAGGAAAAUUUUACCUUUGAAUUUUCUGACCACCGUGUACGGUGGCCGGCGCGACACCGUCAAUGGCGGAAGAUCGCCGGAACCCAUGGCCGGACUUGGGGCCUGAGAGAGAAGGAGAAAGCUCUCUCUCUCUGUUUUUUUUAAAUGAUGAAAUUGAUUUGUUUUUUUUGGUUUUUCUUAUUAUUUAUACUAAACAUGAAACGACGUCGUUUUGGUGGGGAGGAUCCGCGCGUUGACCCGACCCAACCGCCUAGGAUCCGCGUGUUUUCUAGUCCAUGGGUAAUUUGCGCACGCGGUCCUCCCUCUUUUGCGAUGGUUUUCAAUUUGGUCCAAGAACCAUGCGCCUGGGCCUUGGCAGAACGGCACCGUUUGGUUAACAUGGGAAUAUUUCCCAUUUGGCCCUUCUACUUUUCGCGUCCAUCACAAUUGGGUCCCUUUAUUUAUUUAUUUAUUUUCGAUUUCGCCCCAAAUGUUGCUCUUUUAUUAUUUUAGUCCUUUUCUAAUUUUUUUAUUUUUUACUUUUAUUUUAUUAUUAAACCUAUUAUGUUAUUUACUGUUAUUAUUAUUAUCCUCAUAUUUUGUUUAUACUUGUUAUGUAAAUUUUAUAUAUAUAUAUGCUUCAUAUUAUAUUAUUAUUAUAUAAUUUCUUAUAUAUGUAUAUAGGUAUAUGUAUAUGUAUGUUUUUUUUAUAUACAUAAAUACUCUUUUUUUUCAUAUGUGUAUAUUUAUAUAUAUAUAUGCUCUUACAUAUUCAUUAUAUUUUCAAAAUAUAUUGUUUAUAUUUUUUGUACUUUGUGAUUUAUAUAUAUACUUACAUAUGUAUUUAUAUAUAUUUGAUGAUGGUUUUAUACGUAUACAUGUACGUGCAUAUAUGCUUAUGUAUUUUCACGUCCAAUAGUUUUAAAUAAGGUGUACAUGCGUAUGUUUUUCAUAUUUUCAUGCUUAUGUGUAUACGUGUUUAUGUAUCUUUAUAAUUAUAUGAUUUUUGUUGAUUUUGUUCAUUUAUUUAUUUACAUGUUUAUUAUUGUUUAUUUUCUUACUUUAGUUUUUUUCGUUUGUUAUUUCGCCCGUAUAAUUGUUUUUAUUGUUUAUUAUUUUGCUUGUAUCAUUUUAUUUACAUUGUCAUCAUUAUUAUUUUGCAUUCAUUUUUACUCGGAUUUAUCAAAAAAACAAAAAAAUCUAAAAUAAAAGUAACACUCGGUAUUUUAGAUCUUCGAGAGAAUCGAGCCCUAACGUAUUGGGUUCCGAUUUUCUUCGUUGAAUUUAAAUAAUCGAGAUUACUCUUUCAAAAAUGAUAACAAGCUCGUUAUCAAGAAUUCAAUACGUUGUGUCCUAACGCAUUGGAUGUGACAUGUUGCUUUCUUGAAACGAGAAUUUUUCGAAAUAAAUGUAAUAUUCAGUGUUUAAUAUUUUGAUAAAUUGUGCCCUAACGUAUUGGGUUGCGAUUUCUUCAUUUGAUUUAAACAAUUGAAUAUUCUUUUAAACUUUAUUACACGAUUUUUUUUUCAAUAUCGGGAAUUAAAAAAGGAUCGUGUCCUAACUUAAUGGUUGUGAUCCCUUUUUUAAUCCAAGAUAAUUAAAUAUCUUCUAAAUAAGCACUUUUCAUACGCGUAUCGGGAAUUCGAGACAUUGUGUCCUCCUUACUGGAUAUGAUUCUCUUUUUCGAAUAACGUGAAAUACCCUCCUUUUCUUGGAAAAUUUUCAACGUUUUAAUACAAGGAUCGUAUUUUUAAAAUUCUUCAAAGUUUUCAACCUUCGACAUUAAGACAUUAACUAAUCAACUAGGUACCAAUUUUGGGCGUUACGAGGGUGCUAAUCCUUCCUCGUACGUAACCGACUCCCGAACCCGUUUUUAAAUUUCGUGGACCAAACUUGUUGUUUUAAUAAAAUCAAAUCGUUUAUUAAAAACAACCACUUUUCGAGGUGAUCCAAUCACACCUCAUAAAAAAGGAUUGGUGGCGACUCCCGUUUCAUUUUUCAAAACCCAAGUUGACCCCGUUUUCAUCAAAAAAAUGGUGCCAACAAGAUGCAUCAUCGUACAGUUUUCAGAUUGAUUCUCCAACUUUAGAGUAAAGCCCAUACAACAUUAUCCACGUGUAUAAUUAGAAAAAUAACCUAAUGCAGAGAUUGAGCAAUUGCAUACCAUAAUAAUAUCUUCCAUGGAAAUAUGAUCAUAUAAUAUUGUUCAUGUGCAUGACUAGAACCACACCACAAUCGUAUUUGGAAUCAUAAGUGUGCUAGAAAUUUGUAUACGCAAAUUUGAAAUUUGAAGAAAAGAGAUGAACGACAAGAUUCUCCUGUCAAACAUGUUAAAAAUUUAUAUACACAAGUUUCGAGUUAAAAAAAGUUUUAAUCUCUUUCAAUAAUUUAUUGACCCAAUGGUAAGAUCAUUAUGUUGUAGGUAUGAGAGCUUGAGUUUAAAAUAUGAUUUCCAAUGUGAUUAACUAAUGUUUCAAAAUUUAAUGUAGGUUCAUUAGAACCGUAUAAACAAAGACCCAAAACUCCUAUUAAUAGACAAACAGAACCCCUUGCAGUGUAAAAACAUGAUGGAAAAAAGUAAAAAGUCUCGAGAAGAAAAUGAUCCUAUUUGACUGCCGUACAUUGCUAGUAUCAAGAAAUGAAAUAAUCGCGAAUCUCGAGUAACUAGACAAGCCACCAAAAUCGCUAAAGUGGUGAUAAAUCCUGUUAGUAAUAUGGACCCCUUAGAAAGUCCAUCUAUUCCCAAUCUCCCGUAAAAAUAAAUUUUUUUUAUUCAUUUAUAAUCUUUCACCAAUUGAAUUAAUGAAUCGUCCAAUCAGAAAUGAUAACAAAAUGCAUAGGUUAGAUUAUGGAUUUUAAAAUGUUAGUAUUUCAAAAUAUUAGUAUUUGUGAUUAUUUUGUCUAGAUAAAUAGUUUAUUAAAAGAAAAUUAGGUUAUUGAAAUUUGAUGAGAUAAAAAAUAAUUAUAUUAAAAAUUAAAAAAAUGGGCAAUAUAAAUAUCUUUAUAUUUGUAAAUAUAUAUAAAUAUUUUUAAUAUAAAAUAUAAAAUUAGAACUAAAUAAAACGAUAUUUUGAAAUUUAUUUAUUUAUUAUUUUAUUGCUGGACCAUGUACAUUAUAUGAAAAAAAAAUUGAUGAUUUUGAAAAACAACCUCUUCGUAUGAAAUUUGAAUAGAAAGUUUGAGUUAAUCAAAUCUCCUUUUAAAAUUCCUUACAAAAUUUGAUAUUUUUCAUUAAUUUUUUGAGUCUAGAGAAUUUUUGGAUUUCCAAAUUAUGAAGAUGCAGAAUGGAUUAAAAGUGAUCCUAUAAACUAAUUAAUAGUAAAAGAGAGUUAUUGUAAUAUAUAAAAUCUUCAUUUGAAUGAUUCAAAAAUAUCAAAAUAUUAAAAUUUAUUAUUUAUCUUAUAUUAACUUAAUUUAAUUAGUAAUAAUAUAAAUUAACAGAAAUUGGUAAAGAUUUAGUAUAAUUAAACAAUUCAAUAAAAAGUUUUUGGAGGGUUCGGAGAAAGUAAAAAUUUUGAGUGAAGGUAAAAGGAAAAAGGUUUUGAAGGUUUGGGGAGAAGUAAAUUUUUGUAGGGGACGUAAAAGUUUUUGGGUAGAAAUAAAAGGAAAAAAAAUUUGGGGGUUGAGGGGAAGUAAAAUUGUUGGGGGGAAAGGUAAAAGGGUUUAAUAUUUAAUUUAUUCGGAUUAUUUGAGUUAUCCGAAUUCAAAAAUUCAACUUGAAACGAACUCAAAAUUCGAAAACAAAAUUGAAUUGGUUCAAUUAAUUCGAUUUGAAUAAUUCGAAAUUCAAAUUUUUUGAGUCAAAUUAAAUUUUAUUCACCCCUACUUAAAAUACCAAAGCUCGAGAAAAAACAUAUGGAGCCAGAUAACUUGAAGGGUUUGAGCCUUGAGAGAAUAAGAAAGCAUGCUUAUUUGCUGAAAAGAUGUUCCCAACACUUGAGCAAAUUCAUGAAGCAUAAACAUGGGUACAUCUGGAGCAUAAUGGACUAAGCAACAAUUACUUGCAUGCAGUUCAAACGAUAGUUAAAAUAUAGGAUAUGCCCAAAAAGAUGGAGACGGAGACGAUAGAGAAAUAUGAUAUGGAUAGCAAGGUUUUCUUUUUCUUUUUCAUGGAGAGGAUUUCUAAUGUUUUUUAAAUAGGAUCGAUGGUCGAAUCGAUCAAGUCAUCAAAGUUUAAUCGAUUCAAUUAAAAAAAUUAAAAAAUUUCGGUUCAAUUGGUUUUUUACCAGUUUCAAUCGAUCCGUAUUGGUUUUUGAAUUAAUCAGUUCAAAGCCUCUCUCUGAAUCGAUACCUCAACCAGUUCUCGAUCCAGUCUAUUCGACAAAUCAAUCUGGCUCAACUAACAUUGAGGAUUCCAUUUUCUUUUUUAGUUCAACCUCAAAUUUUUUUGGAUAAUUAGUAAAAUAAAAAUAAAUUAAAAAUUCAUUUAAAAUAACAUAUGCCUUUUUUAAUUUGCAAGUACUGCUUUUUAUUGAUCGAAAAUGUCAUGCUUCAAAAUAUAGGGGGUUAAUUGAAAUAAAUAAUCAAGAAAUAACCUUAGUUUGAUGGUUAAGUAGUUAGUGCACUCUCUAGAGGUCUUAGGUUUUAUCCCCAUCUCUCACAUUCUUCUCUUUUAAUUUUCAGCAACCAAGAAUAAAUUCCUAGGACUCUUUAAUUUUAUUUCGACAGAAUAAGGGAAAUUAUCAUGUAGCCCUCAAAAUUUGAAAACCCUAGCUAUUUAGUCACUUUUUCCCUAAUUACACUAGGAUUAUGUUUCUUUUUUCAUUCCAAUUAGAAUUUCUCUUCUUUUUCCCUAUUUCUUCUUUCUUUUCCAUCCUCUUCUUUACAACAAUUUUUCUCUUUAUUGUCGGAAUUAUUUUUGCUUCACGAAUCAAAAUCAAUUCUCAAUUGAAUCGUUCCCUAUCGGAUUCAUAAUUGCCUUUAGCAUCAAACUUAGUCUUAGCAAAGAAUUGGUAAGAAUGACUUGAUCCCAAUGUUUGAAUUUGAAUCUUUAUAGAAUUUCUAUCUAACAAUAAUCUUGCAAGCGACUAAAUGAUCUUUCUCAGUUUUAAAACGAAUCUUUCAAUAAUCUUGAUUAAUCUUGAUGAAUCUCGAAAUUAAUCGUUAACUCGUGUGAAAUUUUCGUUUGAAAAACCUGUUUUACGUACGUCGGAUCAGAUUUGAUCGAGCUUUCGGAGACAGGUAUGUGUUCUUUUACAAGCGAAUUAGAGCAAACUGAGCCUCGAAAUAGGGCCAUACGGCCAGCCACACGUGGGCCACACCGUGUGGACUACAUGACCAUGUCCUCCUGAAACCCUAGUGUAGUUCGUGAACCACACGGCUGUGUAACCCUUCCACACGGCCUGGCCACACAGUCGUGUCUCAUAUGUAGCCUAAUUUUGCAUGUUCCACAGGGCCUCAGCCUGUUACACGACUUGACCACACUGAUCUGCUUCGCUGUCAGUACAGGAAGGCAAGAUCUGCUAUCUUCACUGAUCUGUUCUCCGGGGAAUAUGGCCUGUAUAAUGAACCUAAUUAUGCCUAGUGAUUAGAAUAUUAUGAUCAAAAUGAAUCAAAAUAUCCUAACUAAAUGUGUAUGCAUGAAUGAAAAAUGUCAUGAAAAUGAUCCCUCGAUGUUUGAGUUGUUAUUGCUCAUUGUUUAAUAAAGCUUUAUUGUCAACACGUCAGAAUGUUAUCUUGUCCUGUUGGUAAUGCUAAUAUUUUACUUAACCGGAUUGCCCCCACUGUAAUCUUCAAGGUCCAAUCCAUUGUAAUUUUGGGACAUAAAAUUUGAACCAUCUUUCUCCCACUGAGUAUAAGAUCUGGCUCUUUUUCAAAUCUCUCCCACUGCAAUUCAGGGAUACAGGAUCUGAAUCUCUCUCUUCUUACACUGUUCCCAAGGUUAUGCACAAUUGCAGAACUUCCUCUUCUUAUCACUCAGUGAUCAUUGCUUGUUUGUUCAUUGAAGCUUUGUCACCAACACGACAUCUUGCCAUUUUGUUCAAUCAAUGUUUGGACAACAAAAUCCGAAAGAAUAAUCUUACUUUAGACUUUUCAUUCUUAAACAUUUCAACCUUUAAACUUGGUGUGUUCUAAACAAUAGUCCUAUUUCAGGUUCCUAUAUUAUUUAGAAACUUUUAGAGUAAUAUGCAAGACUCCUUUCGCUUGAAUAAUCAGUCCAUUAAUCGUCUGACCCUUAAUAGCAAAACGACAUCGUUUUAUACUUAGUAUAAAUGUUUAAAAAAAACCCAAAAAAAUUCAAUUUCAUCUUAUUUUAAAAAAAACAAACAGAGAGCUUUUGAGCUCUCUCUCUCUCUCUCAGGCCUCAAAUCCGGCCAUGGUCUGGCUUAGGGUUUCGGCGUGCCUCUGCCGUAGCGCCACCGUGGGUGGCGGCUGGAGGCACAAAAUCGGGCUUUUUUGGUGCUUUUUUGAAGCCUAUUGCCUCUAGGCCACGGAUCCAGGGCCGAAUCUCGUGAAAAAUGAGCCCAAGACCCAAAAAACGAUGAGGAACCGCUCGUCUUCUCCUCCUCCGGUGCGGCGCAGGUAAGGUUCUUUUUCUUUCUUUCUAUUUACUUGUUAUUUAGCAUGAACAAUAAAAAAAUAAAAAGGGCAGAAAAGAAAGAGAACGCGGAUCUAAAAUAACUUUUUAGAAAUCUUUCUAUUUUUUGAUAUUUCUCUAUAAUGUUCGUGAAAAAUAAAAAAAGGAACCCCUGUUACAGUGUUUUGAAUGGCUUUAUAUAGCCUUUUUACACAUUUUUAAAAUCUAUAAACUGUCACUUUUCUCUGAUUUUGCAGGUGCAAGUGGCGUUGGGUGGGCCAGUGGCAGAGGAGUUAGUGUGGCGCAACAGUGAUGGUGAGGAUGGGAUGUGCGGCGCUGGGUAGUCAGAAGACAAACCUAGGUGAGGCGAACCUAGGGUUUUUUGUUGUUGUAUCCUGUUAGAUUUUUUUUGGGUUAUUUGGGCCAUUGUAUCGUUGGGCUUUAGGGGUUUAAUGGGUUAGGUCUAAGCUAGGUUUGGUUUUGUCUGGGGUAUUUUGGUCUGUAAUUUGUUUUGGGUAGGUUUAAUUGGUUUGGGUUUGUUUUGAGUGUACUGGGCCCGGGCGAAAUUGGGCUUGUACAGUAGUAACUGCAAAUUUGAGGUUUGAUCUCAAACCAAGUGGUAGCGUAGCUGCAAUGUUUAUCUAAAAAUAUCAGUGGUUUACCCACAAUUUUUACAAGCCCAGUGGCAAAUUUUAUCUGCAAUUACGUUGUGUAUCCACAACAAGUGACAGUUAUCUGCAAAUCAGUGGUGGUUCAUCCACAACCUGGAGUGAUAUGAUAGAUGAGUUCUAGGGAACUCAUAAGUGAGGUGUGUAGUGAAGUUGGGCAAGACCUUUCUGAUAAAUUAUACUUGUAUUGCCAUACACUAGCAUGUGCAUUUGAAAUUGUGUUUUCUGAAAUAAUGUAGUGAAGUGAUUAUAUGAUAAACCGUAAUCUAAAGUGCUUUAUGAUUGUCAUUGUUAUCCGAAUUGCUAAUAAACUUGCUUUGCCUAUGGUUUUGUUUCGAUUUUCUUGUGACCAAACUCACACUGAGCUUCGUAGCUCACUCUUCUUAGUUUACAUCUUUACAGAUAACCCACCAGGUUAGGAAGCGGAAUUGGCAGAUCGAAGGGCUCGACUCGAUUGAAGUUUUAUUAAUAUUUUUAUUUUUACCCAUUAUUAUUUAUAGUUUCCAUUAUUUAAGAACUGUAAUGUCUUAUUUAAAUUGUGGCACGGGACUUAGUUUCGGGUUAUUUAAGGCCUGCAUGAUAUAUUUAGGCUAUUAACGCUUGAGUUUUAUUUUAUUUUAUAAUGCAUGAAACAUGAUUUUUUAUUAAAUCUAUGCUAGUAAUACUUUUCCCGCUGCAUUGAUGAAAAAUGAGUUUUUAAACAAGUAGAUAAUUUAUAAGUCAACUAGUUUUGAAUUAAUAAUAUUAUUUUGUGAGAAGGGUGGUAAAACGCUAAGUUUUUUUUCGAAAAUAGACUAAGGUUUUCUUUAAAAUAAACAAAUGCUUUAAUUUGUCUGUUUUAAAAAACUCUGUCUAACAUCUAGGCCGGGUUGGGGAGAUAACAAAAAUGUCAACUAUCAUCUAUCUAUAUCUAUAAUAUAAAUAAAAGCACAAGUUUGAAAAACUUUCAAACUAAUAAGAAUACCCUUUAUGGUUAAUAUAUUACUAAAUUGAUAUUAAAAUAAUAAUUUAUUAGUAUUAUCAUAUGAUAAUAAUAAAAAUAUUAUUAAUUAAUAUGUUAGUAUAUUAAUUUGAAAUUACUUAAUUUAGUCUUAGCUUUUAAAAGUUCUACUUUAAAAACUAACAUAAUAUAUUAUUGAUUAAUAAAAUUAUAAAAUUAUAAAAUUAUAAUCUAUAAUUAGACAAAUUCAAAAUAAUAAAAAUCUAAGUUCUUAAUUGAAUAAAUAUAAUUUCAAUAUAUAAAUAUAAUUUUAUUUUAAAUAUAAUAAUAAUUAAUAAUGUUAAAACCAAUUUUUUAUAGUUAAUAAUAAUUAAAUGUGUGAGAUUAACAUGAUAUAUACUAGAAAUAUAAUCUCGCGUUGUGAGGUUUGAUUUUUAAUAAUUUAAUAUAUAAAAUUUUUAAUUAAUUAAUUAAUUUUUAAAUAUAAAAAUUAUAUAUAUAUAUUAUUAAAUUAUUAUAAAUUUAAAUUUUAUACAAUUAACAAAAUCAUCAUCAAAGUCAUAAAUAGUAAUUUUAAAAAUUUAUAAUUUAUAAUAAUUAUUUUAAUUGAAUGAUAAUUAAUGUUUAAGAUUAAUUAUAUCUUGAGAUUCGAUAAAAGUAAGUAUUUAAUAUCCAAACUAUCAUUAAUUUCAUGAAAUCCAAAAAAAAAUAGUUUAACUUAGAUUAAGAUGAUCCUAAAAGAUCACAUUUUAGACACCCAAUAAUAACAUACCACAUCAUAUUAUUUUAGGGCAUAUGAAUAAUAUAAUACAUUAAGAAACAACAAAUUACUAUUAUUUAACUCUAACAAACAAUCAAACAAACAAAAUUAAAUACCCAAAGGGUUCAUCUAUUCUCAUGGCGCGUAAAUCCCAAUGGACUCACGACUAAAUUUCAACUUUAUAUUUUUUAUUUUGUGUGAGUGAUUUUCCGUAAUUUGAUAUGUCAAAUUAAAUUUUCCCGUGUACUUAAUGAGCUUAUUCUCAAGUAGUUCAAGAGUAUUUUUUUUAUUUUUAUAGAUUCUUAACUUUUAAUUUCAAUGCUAGCUUUUAUUGCAUUUUAUCACUUUUGAAACUGAAGUUGACAAAAUCAUGCCAUUAGAGGUCUAAUGAUUGAUUUGAGCUUGUAUAGGAGGUGAUUAAGGCAAAACAUCAAGGAACACCUCAACUAUUGUAGAGGUCACAACAGAGGUGCCUGUGUGUUGCAACACUGACCUUUCAUCACCUCGAGAAAGUUGAACUUCACCAAAACUCAACAUGGGACAGCUUGUUGUGGAGGCUGCGACACUAAAGGUGGGUUUAGAUGGGUGGUGCAUUUACCUGCGGUUAGUGUAAAAACAACGGUGGCGGUGAGAUUAGAUACUGUAGCGAUACUGUAGCGUGAGACAAAAAGUAAGUUAAACGCACCGCACGGCACUGCACCCAAUUGUCCAUCCAAACCCAUCCUAAGCACAGGAUGGUGUGACGUUAAGCCUCAAAGUCUCAAUUCAAAGCCCUCGAGGUUGCGACUUCAAGCCAAAAGAUGAAGUUGUUGAAAUCAAUGGCAUGUCGUCCCGAUCGUGACACCAGCAAGGGUGUGUUGCGACAUCGAGAGCCUCCUAUGCCUGUUUUGUGCCAACUACCAUGUGUGUUGCGACAUUAAAGUCUGACUGGUGAAAAAUUGCAAAGACAAUUUGUGUCCAAACAAGCUCAAAUCAACCACAAUUUUGUCCGUAUUCAAAUGAUUUGCCUUCUUAAUUGUUAAAUUUAGUUGUCUCUGCAGUGCUUUAACAUCAACCUUCAAUGCCUAGACAACACAUUCUUCAUCACUCUACUUCAUGCUUCCAUUCACCUUCUUAAACUCAUCAUUCUCCUUAUUCAGCUCAUAUAUAAGAUAUUUCGCCUUUUCAGUCAUUUGUUCGUCAUGCCAUUUGAAGAAUCCAUUGUCAACAAUCUUAUAAUUAGGACAGCUGAAAAACCUUCUACCAAUAUUCGAAAUCUUCCAAGUUGUCCACAUCAGACAAUAGCAAAACACACCAUCUCCCAUGUACUCAAAAGACGCACACGACUAUGGGCGUUGCUCCUCCUGCUUUCAAACGAUGAGAAGGAUGAACUCAUAACUCCCCUUCCUAAACCUUCAACCAACAAAUAAACCAAAAGUGAGAACUGACUUUUAAAGUCAAAUAGAACAACAAACCGACAAGAAAAAUAUCAACUCUAUGUUGGUCCUAAACCUGUUAAAAGUAAACCCAAAAUAAUAAAAACAACCCUUUAAACUUUCAAGAAUUGAUUGAGAAAAAACCACCACCACAAUUGAAUAUGAAUCCAAGAAAAAGAAACACCUCACCCACUUUCGAUUGAAGAAGAAAUCAGGUUUGUAGUUGACAGGGUGUUUUCGAAUGAGCCCUAUUUUAGAACCUUUUCUUUAUCCUGUUUUAGCUUCAUAUUUCAACAAGGGAAAAAAGAUGACAAUUUUAGUUUUAGGGUUAGUUUAAAUCUUAAAAAAUGUUUGUUCCACAUCAAGUUGUGAUGAAUUUCCAAAAAUAAAAAUUUAAUUGGGUUCUAAAGUUUAGUGAGAGUUUAAUUGAUUUUUUUUUUAAUUUUUCACUCAAAACAUUUUUUUACUAAUAAGCUUUAAUUAAACUCUAAAAGUUGAGAAAUCACUUGCUUGUAAAGAUUAUUUAAUUUUAAUUAUUUUAAAAUGUUAAUCUUUUUAAAAACUAUAUUUUUUAUUUAGAGAAAAAUAAUAAUAAACACUUGUCAGGUGAAGGACAAACUCCAUCAACACAAGAAAAGCUUUAGCCUCAACAUUAAUAUAACAUUAUUACACAUUGACAAUUGGCUUUGUCUCAGCUCAAGCAUGACAUUGCAAGCACUUAAUACGAUAAGGAAAUCAACUCCGGAUGGUACAAAGUGGCAAGCAAAAAUCGACAAAAGAAUCGAACAUUCACCACACUAGAGAGGCUGACAACAAAAUCAUCCCUAAAAUCACUUGUAAAACUAAGAUUACAUGCAUAAACAAGACUAAAAAAGUGUCAUAAGAGCAGACAAAAACUUCUAAAACUGAAGACUUAUUAAACAAUGGAAAAACAAGCAACAAAACAUAUAAAACUUAAGACAACACGAGUCUAAAUAGACACGUGGAAUCAUUUAUUAUUUUAAAAUACUCUCAAAACAGAAACAAAUUAAUAAAAUUGACGAAGAGCCACCCACUUUCUAAGAAAAACUACCAGUGGCCGGUGGAGUUUUAGAAUGAUAUACACAGUCAUUUGUCCAUCACAACUUGUAAAAAUAACAAAGAUACCUACAAAAUAAAUUUGUAAACUGAAAAGAGGAAAGACAUGUAUAAUGAAUGAAAAAAAAAAGAAGAAAAAGAAGAAAGAAAGGAGGCUAAUACCGUCGCUGAACAAAACAAAAGAUAAUAAACAAACAAUUUAGAGAAAAACGAGAAAAGUUUUAACUACAUUUUUAAUUUUAAAAUGUCAAUUUGAAGAGAAUCCUAAAAGGAAAUAAUUUUCAUAAUUUAAUUAAAUAUAGAAUUAUAUUAUAUUAUAAGUGUGACACCUGUCACAAAUUUAACUAACCUAAAUGUGAUUUUUACCUUAUUUGUAUGAAGAUUAUACUAGCUUGUUAGUUGUUGUUUUUUUUUUAUACUAACCUAAAUGUAAUUUUCAAUCUUUGUAAAUGGAUGAAAUAGUUGCUUUUUUUAUUAUUAAAAAAUCACUUUUUGAACUUUAAAUUUAUCUAAAAAUAAAAAAUUACAUUUAAGGAGUAAUUUAAAAAUUAAAUUAAAAUUAUAUAUAUAUAGAUAGAUAGAUAAAGAUAUUUUGAAAGGAUAAUAUGAUUAGAAAGGUAUAAAAUAAAAUUUUAAAAUAAAAGAAAUUAAAAAAAUUAUUUAAAAAACUAUACACCACAUAUUGCAAAUUGGAUGGUGUACAUUAUUCAAAACAAAAUUUAGGUGUGAAUUUGAAUAAUAAAGUUAAAAUCAUGUAUUUAUAAUAAAUGGUGUUUUCCACGUGAUCAACAUGGGCAGAAGAGAAGUUGACAUCAUCACUAUGUCUUUUUAAAUCAAAUACCAGCCCAUUGUUUACAUUUCAAAUCAGUUUGUUGGGCCCAACCCUAAGUUAGCGCUUCUUCCCCACCUUUUAUGGCAACCCUUUAUUAUUUUUAUAAUUUAAUCCAUCCAACCAUGAGUUCAAUUAUUAUAAAAUAAAGUAUCAAAUGUCUCCAUACUAUGACCUUAAUUUUAAAUUCAUCCUUGAAUUUUAAAAUAUUCUAAUUAAAUUCUUAAACUAUCAAUAAUAUAUCAAUUAGGUCCUUUCAUAACUAGAAUCACAAGUCUAAAGCCGCAUGUGGCAUGGGACACUAGCUUGUGACUGAGUGUUUUGACUAGGGGCUAGUUCUUUAUUGCUUUUGAGAAGUGCUUUUCAGAACUGCUUUUCAGAGGUGCUUUUGAGAAAUUUGAGUGUUUGGCAUUGCUGUCAAAAAGUGCUUUUGAAGAAUAAAAUGUCCAUUUUAGACAUGAGAUUAUAAAGUAACAAAUAUGUAUUUAAUUAAUGUUUAAAUUAGUUAAUAUUAUGAUAUUUUAGUAAAAAUAUAAAAAAAUAAUUUAUUAUAACUUAUUGUUAAUAUUUUAAUAUAUAAUAUUAAUUUUAAAUAUUUCUAAGUAAUUAAUAUUAAUUAGUUAUAAAAUUUAAUUAGAAAAUAUAAACUAUAUUUAAAUAUUUAAAUAUAAAAAUUAAAUAUUUGUAAUUAGAUAUUGACACGAUUGUAUUAUUAUAAAAAUUAUUUUUAUUUUUAAUGCUUUUAACACAUUUGUAUUAUUUUAUUUUAAAAUAUAUUUGAAUAUAUAACUCAUAUUAUAUACUAACAUAACAUAGAAAACAUAAACCUAACGAAUUAAAAUAUUAUAUAUAUUUGGAUUAAAGUUUUAAAAAGGAAUAAUAUUUAUAUACCAAAUAUAAAUACUAAAAAUUUGUCAAUAGUAUUUACAAUUUAAAGUGAAUUCAUUAAACUAGAUGCUAUAUUUGAUAAGCAUAUGAAAAUGAUUUGGUUAUAUUCAAUAAAUAAUUUGGUUAAUACAAUACUUACAUUUGAUAAGCAUAUGAAAAUGAUUUGGUUAAUACAAUACUUAUAUUUGAGGAGUUCAACAAUCCAUCAAUAUUAUCUAAAUCAUACAAUAACAUUUAAGGAGUUCAACAAUCCAUCAAUAUUAAAAUGGGAGUUGGCUUUUCUUUCUUCAGUAAGACCAAUUUUUAACACAAGCACUGAAAACAUUGAAUUUUGCAAGAACAAUCAAAAGGUCAAUGCAUAAUCUGUACCAAGAAAUAUCAAGUGUUCUGGAACAUGAUGAACAAUACACAUAUAAAAGCAAAUUCAUUCCCAGAUAUCAGCAAAAACUGAAUCAUCAAGACAGAGCGGAAAGACAAUUUUCUAUAUCUUCAUCUACAAAUUGUACCACUAUAAAAUGGGAUUUCAAGGUCAAGCUUCUUGUUUUCUAGAUCAGUUCCUAAAAGAAGUGUACAAAUCGGAAAAAAUUCUUCAAAGAAUGACACCUACGAGUCAACUAUACUAAAAUAGCAUUACAUAUAUGUAUAAAAAAAAAACACUAUACCAAAAUAGCCAAAAAAAAUUUACUCGACAGGCUUUGUGUAGCUUCCUGGGAUAUUUACUAGCUUUGCAUGAUGAGUGUUUUGAUCAACCUCCACUUUGUUGUAUAUCACAGCAGCUCCAAAGCUCCUAGCAGGGUUGAUACCAGUCCCAGUGACUGGUAUUGUGGCAAGGUGAACCAUGAAAUACAACUCAUAGGAACACUGCUGCUCUCCACUUUGAUUGACUUCAUUAAGAAACUUGAAAACUACUCAUUCAUCAUGUGACAUGAAUAACAAUCUGAUAUUGAUGCAAUGCUGGGGGAUUUUAGUACAUACAUGCAACACAACACAGUCAAGGAACAAUAAAUACAAUUGAAUCUAUACUCCAACUUAAACUCAAUGACAAAAACAUUAAGGAAUAUGUAGAAGAUUUCAUUAAAUAAUACUUAUUAUCAAAGUGAUUACUCCUUUGCAGUAUCCUAGUCCAUUUCAUUUUGCUCAUACAGUUAACAUCAACAAAAUCUAAAAUAAGAACAUUACAUGGAGCAUUAAAACUUGGUUGUCUUAUUUGUGUCAAGUUUUAUUUAUGUCAAAUUCAGUUCUUCAUAAACAACUUAAAACAUCAAAAAACAUCCAAAACAGGUCCAUAUCCCUUUAGAGAAAAAUCACUUUGAGAAAACAAAAAGAGCCUUUUUUAGUAUCAAGAGACAAAAGUAGAAAUUGACUCUGUAGUCUUCAACCCUUAAAAAGUUAUUAAGCAAAGAAUAGAACCUAACAUGUUCAGCUAUCUACCAUAUGCAAAGGGGAUUCCAAAUAUUUUCAUAUACUUCAACAAUCUCCCUGUAAAACAAAUUAAAAAGAACGCAAUAAAAUGUGCAAAAAGAGACAAAACUCACAAAAUUACAACUUUUUCAUCAGAGCAUUCGACCCCGAACCAAGAACACGGAUCAAUCUCUCCAUCAAUUUCCUUCCAGUUCGAUAAAGCACCAAAGGGGUCACUUACCACUCUCUGUUUGAACCUCAACAAAGCCAAACCUGCACCAUUUUUUGCCGCACAGGCAAAUAAUUUCUCGUAAGAACAUAUAUAAUAUACAAAGAAACUCUUGUUGAGGCCUGAAUAAAUACCUUCACUGUUCAAACGCGAGGAGAAGCUCAUAUUCUGCUCAAACAAUGAUAAAACCAGCAUUAACAGCAUAACCACCAUCAUCCUGAGCUUCAACCGCUCGAAUCCCCAGAGUCCAUACAUGUCCAAAAGAAGAAGAAUUUUUUCUAGCUUUUCUCUAUCAACCUUUGAGAACAAUGUCAAAAAGAGUCGAAAAUGUAUUAAUAGAAUAAACACAAAAGAAAAUGUAAGAGAGCUUCUUGGAGGCUGCUAAAUGCUAUAGGCAGCUAAGUGCUAGCAAAUUUAGACAAGAAGAGAAGAAAACGCGUGUGGUAGCGGCGCCACUGCCGGUGAUCAUUUACUUUUUUUUUUUUUAUAAAAAGGAAACCUUUUCGCAAGUUAAAGUCGACAUUAGAUAAUUAAGGGGGAAGAGGAGAAAGCCAAGAUACAAGACAGAACUUACUGUUUUAACAAAUAGAGAAAGAGCAAAUCAAGAAUGUAAUAUUGGGUUUUGGUCUGAAUCUGAGUUUGGUCUUCUUCGUCGAUCAGCUGUCGCUGGCGUUCUCAUUUUAAGAACGUUUGGGGAACCAGUAGAGGGGAAAGAACGUUUGGGGAGAAGACAGGAUAAUUUGGUCAAUUAUCAUCCAAAAGCACUUGAAGCUGGAGAAAAGGAGAAAAAAUUAGCUUCUCCAUCUGGAGAAAAGCCCUUCUCUGCUGGUGAAAUGUUUAAGCAAAAGGAAGCCGUUCUUCAUUCCUUUUAAGAGAAAAGGACUUUUUUUUGAAAAAGUCCUUCUUAAACGCGCAGAAGAACGGAGCCUAGGUGUAGGGGCAAUUGAGCUAGGCUAAUGCACCAAGGGUUGUGCAAUAAGGGUGGUGGCCUAGGUUGUUGCUCGUUAGGCAUGUAAUGCAAGAUUCAAGUUUAAAUUUGGGCCUCCAAGUCCAUUUAAAUAAAAAAUAAAUUAACCUUGUGACUUAAAAUGAAUAUUUAAUCAUACAUGAAAUUGAUUUCGGAAUAAACUAAAUAUCAUACAUAGAUGUAUAAGAUAAAACAAAUGAUCAAAUAUCAAAAUCUUGAAAAUUGUGGAUUAUAAGUAUGGGCAAAAGUAGGUCGCUACAAUAGACAUAUAUGUAGUUUCAACUUGAGAAAUAACACUUGGUUUUUAUUUUGUUUUUGUUAAAGCAAGCAUGGUUAAGGUAAGCCUAAAUAUAGUGAUAUGAUCAUUUGAUUUUGAAGUGGAUGUGUGUAUCUAAUUAAAACCAAUUGAUCUUGAAGUAAGAAAAAGGAAACAGCAAAAAGAAGUGAGAAAGUUUAGUACUUCAGGUUCAAAAGCAAUAUUUCCUGCAACUGAAAAUUAGAAUUUGGUUCCAAUUGAAGCAUCAUCCAAAAGCAAUAUUCCUUGGGCAUUGUAAGUUAUGUUAAGCCCUAAGUUUUGGUUAGAACACGAUGGAGCUCAAUGAGAGCAUUGAUUCAACUGUUGUUUCUGUAACCAACAACCUUCAUCUUACUUGCCUACAGAAAGGUAACCUUCACGCCUCUUCUCUCUCUACUGGUUUCCUAAUUGCCAGAGAGAUUUAGUGACUCAACUAGUAACCAUUUUAUUGAGAAAUGUAGUAGAGAUGGUCGAAUUCGACCUAGGCCAAAUUAUCUUAGAUGAGAUUGUGAAAAAUGCUGAGAAGGUUCACCCUCGGUACCUACCGCCAUUCUCUUCCCUUAUAUUUCAAGUGCUGCACACUAAGAAUCCCACAAUUGUUCGAGCAACAAAAAAAUUUGAGAAGCUUGUGCCAGAAUUGAGGUUUACCCACAAGUGGCUGAAGGGAAACACACUAUGAAUGAUCCAACCAAAGAAGCUUUAGAUUCUGAGUCUGAUGAUGCAAAGGAGGAGGAAGAUGCUUAAUCUCAGGAUGUUCCCACUGCUGCAGGCACCACAUCCAUCCCCUCGGGCAUUAAGCAAAGGAUUAUUGUUGAGUUGAACUCUAACAUUGAGUUCAAUCAGAGACAUGUAGACAGGUUAUGUGUAGAGGCCAAGGCUAUAAAGAAGGUAAUUGAUAGACAAAAAGCCUUGCAAUAUGAUCUUCUUGCCCUCCCUAAUGAUGAAUACAUUGACAAGUCUGUUGACCAAAAAGGUAGAAUGAUGAUGUAGUGGGGAGCCAACAUUACUGUUGCUGCAAUUGAAGGGGAGAUGGUUUUUUUUUUUUUGGAUCACUGUAAUCCUUGAUUUUUGCCACUCAAUGAUAUACUAGUAGUAAACUUUUAUUCAUUUGUUAAUGGAAGGAUAAUUCUGUUGAUGCAUUAUUUCCUUGUUUCUUUAAUAAAUUUUUAGGUUUUUAUUUUUGCAAUUUUUAUCAACUUUUUGAUAUUUUCAAGUAUAUUUGAAUUUUUAUAUGCGAGAACAUUUAAUUGGAUGGGGAGGUUUUUUAAUGAGAGUACAAGGGUCAAACGGAUAAGAAAAUAGUAUAGGUACUAAAGUGAUAAUUUAGCUAUAUGAUAGGGGCUAUAUGUAUUGGGAUAAACAUAAAUCCGACACAUCAAUAUCACAUAAAUUUUGAUUUUAUAUAAUUUUGAUUUGAUUCAUUUUUCAUAAAUUGUCGACAUCAUUAUCGAUGUAACCCCAUUUUAUAUUUAUAUAUUAUAUACACGAAUAAUUAUAUUUAUUUAAUGUAAGAAUAAGUUGAGAUAUAUAUAUAUUUUUUAAUAUGUAUAAUUGAAUUAAAAUUGAUGUAUUAAUAAGUUGUAUCCCUGAUAUUUAGAUUUGGUUACCCAAUUUGAAAUAAGAUAUUUUCUAGUAAAUUUAACUAUGAUUAAGAUUAUUAUUGGAGAUGCAAAUUUUGAUUUAUAUGAUAAACUUUAAAAGUUAAAAUUAUUUGAGAAACAUAACAGUAAAAAAGAAAGAAGAGCAGGCAUAAUCAGAUAUCUUUGUUUAUAAAAUCAACCAUUUUGUUCUUCAAGACCUCAGUGUUGUGAUUGUUGAUGACGACAUGGAAGCAAUGACCCUCUCCUUUCGUCUCGAAAAACUCCACCUUUCCUCGCCACCCACUCUUCGCCAAUGUUUCAUAGUAAGCCUCUCCUCUGUUUCUAAACCCAUCUUCCUCUGCUACCAAAACAAUCACCCUUUCACAUGCCAUUUCAUUCAAUUUCGGAUCCGCUGCCGGGUUCACAAUCGGGUCAUUGUCGAAUUCGGUACUCGUUGGACAAACGUACUUGUCCAACUCAUUAUCGCUUGGUUCUCUGGUUCCGAAAUACGGAUGUACUAUAAGCAUCCCUCUGAUUUUUAAACCCACCAAUUUGGUUACACCAGCUUGGACUGCCACGAAGUGGGCAAUAUUGGCUCCGGCGCUUUCACCGGCCAAGAAAACUCGGCUGGGAUCCGCAUUGUCAUUGAGCCAUGGUUCGGGCCCUUGUCCGUUUGCGUGAGAAGCGACCCAUUGUAGCCCUACCCAUGAAUCAUCGUGCGCAAUCGGUAGAGGGUGCUCGGGGGCUAGCCUGUAAUCAAUCGAAACCAAAACGAUAUUGGCUUGUUUUGCAAGUGGGGCAGCCACUUUAUAGGUGAAGGUGUCGAAGGCCGAUCCAAUGGAAAAGCCACCGCCAUGGUAGUGAACAAGCAGGGGAAGCUUCUGACCCGGGGUUGUACUUUGUGGCAUGAAAAUCCUGGCCUUGACAGCCGGUGAAAUCACCACAUCUUUAGUCUGGACGCCGGUCGUCGGGUCCAGCCCCGCCGGAACCGGUUGUGUGACAAAGUAUCUCUCAACUCGGCCAUCUUUGUAGACUUUAAAGAACGGGGGACAAUCACGGAUGACCUCAUUACUGCUUGAAUCCAUUUGGCAGAAACCAAAUUGAUAAGUGGAUUAUGAUUCCGACUUUACAAGGGCAAGGGUGUGUUUUAAAGACAGCCAAACGUCAUGCGGUUGGUGGAAUUUAUUUUUUAUUUUAUCACUCAACAUUGUCUUCUGACAUCUAAUUUUGGUGCUUCUAGAAAGAUUGUUACGCUAUAUUUAAGUAAUUUUUUUAAAAAAUCAUUUAUUACAUACUACAUGCAGCAUGAUUAAAUCACAGUUUAUCCAUAAUUUUGCAUAAAUAUUUUAUGCAAUUUCUUUUUAUACUUUUUUAUUAAGUUUGUGUCAUCCAUCAACAAAGUUGGAAAAUUAUCAAAAAAAUUAUUUUAUUUAUUAAUUAAGUUAUAGGAUUAUGCGAGUGUUUUUAUUUUUUAUUUUAUAUUUUUAUAAAUCAAUAAAAAUUUAUCUAUAAUGAGAUAUAAACCUAGGACACAACACAUAUAUUUUUUUCAUUUACUAUUUGAACUAAAAAGGAAUAUUCAGCAUUGAAAGAUUUUCAAGGAUCGUGUACCCAGUAUCGAGUAUGGUAAUUGGGAAAUGUGCUAGGAAUGUUCACCAUUGAAAGGGACUCUGGCAAUGGAAUAUAUGAAUGAUAUGUAGGCUUCGGGAUAGUCUAAGCUUGCAUAAUUUGAAAUCUUGUACCCAAUAUCGAGCAUACCUUUACCUCCACGGCCACAUCCCGCUUUCAUGGUGCCUAAACACCAUUGUCCCAACAUCUUUAGAAUUUUGAGAUCCACCGCGAUGUAUUUACACCUCCUAUUGGACCUUCUAAAUGUAUAUAUUUCAUUUUAGGUAUUAACUUAGUACUUAUAAUGUAACACAUCUAUACCUGUCUCGACUAUCGAGUAAAGACAUGGGAAUGCUCUAUUUGUUGCCAGAGCAACUAUGGCUAUAUUCUAAUAAGUUGGGUUUCUCGUAGUAAAUAUUUUAGUAUUAUCAAUGUAAUAUUCUCAUAUUAAGUCGGUUUUAAAUAAAAUAUUAUAAAAUUAUUGGGUAAAAUUUGUUUCAGAAACUUUUUCCAUACAAAGCAAGGCUCGAGAAUCGAUACUGAAUAUAAGGUACGGUACUCUAGCCAAGGUAUCGAUACCAAUUUAAGUUUCGAAGUUCAAAAAUUUUAAACAAAAUCCAACAUGUAUUGAUAUCUAUAUUGAAGUAUCAAUACCUUUCCUAUAGUAUCAAUACUUUGACUAAAGUAUUGAUACCUUCCUUAAGGUAUCGAUAUUUUACCCCUGAUAUCGAUACUAAAUUUUGAUUUCAUGUUUGGAAAUAAGAGAAAUUCAUUAAGGAACAAUUUACACAUUUAUUUCUUAACUUCUCUAAGUCAUUUCAAAUUACCCAAUGUGUUCAAAAUAUGCACUUUAUCAUCCAAGAUCAUUAUUCAACUACCCAUUUCUUAAAUAUAUAUAUAUGAUAUUUUCUUAACUGAUGAGCUCUAUGUGCAUACCUUUUGUACCAAAAUUUAUAGAGUUAACACAAUUAUUGAAGUUUUACAAAUAAGUCCUUUAGAAGACUUGUACGGCAAAAAUAGUUUAAAUUUUCCAUAUACCAUCACUAUUGCCAACAUUUAUCAGUCAAUUCAUCAAUUAAGACUUCCUUAAUUCAUCUUAAAACAUUCACUCACUUGAUACUUCAACAAUAAACUUGAAGUUCUUCUACGUGUUAGCAAAUCUAUCAUUUACAACAAUUUCUUAACAUUAUAGCUCUCCUAUUAUUUUGCCUCCUCAUCCUCUCCAUUCCACAUCCCUAUGUACGUGUACUUAUAUAAAAAUCUUUUACCUUUAGUAUGACACAUUUAUAUGUAACAAUUUAACUAUUCUUCCACUAUUUACACAUAUACUUUUAACCAAGUUGUCUUCUUGAGUAACAAUUACUAAAUUAUUUAUAUCUUGAUCUACCGAAUUCAAAAUUAGGAUCCUCUUUUUAUUUUUGAAACUAGACUCGAUGAAAUUUUACCAUAAAAAUUUUAGAAUUUCUACGUAAGCCAAUUAAUACAGUUUUUUUCUUCAAAUCUUCUCCUGUUCUGCUACUAGGUAGCUCUGACACUUUUUCACUAAAAAUUAAAUAUCUUUCACUACAAAUAUCAUCUUAAGUUACCAUUUGUUUUCGUUGAAAGUAGACUUAUUAGGAAUUUAUUCAUAUAAAAUUUAUCUCUUAAACAUUUUUGUACAAUUUAUAAUGAAUUUUCAAAGUUAGAAUAAGGGAUCCCGAAAUCAUUUUGACCUUGUCUCCUGAAAAUUAUUAUAUCUCAUAAUUUAUAAUUCCAUUUCUUACUUCGUUUCUUCUAUACAAAACUAGACUCAAUGAGUUAUAAUUACAGAUCUGCUAAGUGGUGUUGUUCUUGGGCUUUGAGUUUUCCCAAGAGGAGUCUUUGGCUUUCAGCAAACUGUUCUCCUCCUCCACCUGCUCGCACUUAGCUUGUGUAUCCUUAUACUUGGCCUUCCAAGCUAAGAUACAGGAGUUGAGAUCCAUAUUUUAUAUGUUGGAACGGGCGUAGUGGUAUGAAAAUUUGAAGAAGACCCUGCAUCAUCAACAAGAGAGUUAGCUCGAUUAGGAGAUGAAGUAGAAGAUGUACCAUGACGUAAUAGUAUUCCAAUGGCGUGGGCGAAUCCCACAAGAGUCAUAGAAAAAGAAAGGAGGUGUCCUUAUCCUCCCCACUAGAAUUCAUGUCAAAUCUUCAUUAGAGUUAUAGGGCCAAGCCUUUUUAGCAAUUGGGACGUUCAAGAAUCCGUCCAUAAUAGGAGAUCAUUAGUUUGACGACCAUUGAGGCUUAAUCCUUACAUACAAUAUUUGAAGACAUGUCUGAUAGUAACAACCUCCCCUAAUUUUAGUACACGCCCCACCCUUAACCAUUGAAUAGAACUAAUAUUUUCACAUUACCGGUGGUGUGUGAAUAUGCACAUUUAAUUAUUUUUAUUUAAAAAAACAUUUUUAUAUAAUUUAUGCAUUAAAAAUAUAAGUAAAAUCUUUUAUCAUAUUUAUUUGAAAUAAAAAACAUGAAAGUAAAAAUUUUGCAUAAACGAAUAAGUUAAUUUUGUUAUUAUCAUAAAAUAACUUAUCAUCUUUUUAACAUGUAUAUAGUAUUUAUCUAAAGAGGUUUUAUUUUUUGAAUUUAUUCAUUAUAUUCAAUAAAUUAAUGCUUAAUAAUUAUUUUUGUUACUAUCUAACUAGUAAUAUAUCAAUAAUUUAUUAUUUUAAUGUCAAUGUAAUAAUAUAAUGAAUAAUAAUAAAAAAUACUCUCCUUUUAACCUCGUGUCUUUAUAUAUAUUAUAGAUAUAAAUUAUGGAUAGUAUCCUUGUUUUUAUAUAUAUAUUUCUUAAAUCAGUAUAAAUAAAGCCAAAAUAAAAAAUAUAUAUAUACCAUGUGAAUUGACAACACAUCUUCCUUACCAAUUUCAUUUUCCAAUACAAUAAUUUUGGAAAUGUAUUGAAGUUGAAACUCCACAGUCCACACCUACACCGCAAUAGAAUUAUAAAAAUAUUUAUAUAUUUUAAUAAAUAAAUUUAAAUUAAAAAUUAUUACCUGUAUUCACGCCCAUUUAGAAUUGUUCAAAUGGUUUAAAGCCUAUUUUAGACAAUUAUGUACAAAGUAAUUAUAACAAUACAAGGUUGGUGGUUUAAAUCGUAUAAGUUACACCCUAAAUCAGGUUUCUUUUAAAAUGGAAAACUCCUCAUUUUACUUCUUUAAUUUUUUUUAAAAUUUAAAUUAAUCAAUGUAAUCGAUAAAAUCUUGAUUUAAUCCUUUAAAAACUAUAUUUUUACUAUGGUAAAAAUUACAAUUUAAUACUGACCUCGUUAAAAAAAAAUUCUAACUUCGUCCCUACUGCAAGUUGGGUGGUGGUUUGGAGUUAUUGAGAUUGCAUCUAUUUUUAGGAAGAGUGUUUAUAAGGGAGUUAGGGUUUAGAGUAGGUCUUUGUGAAUUAGAUGAAUAAUCAUAUUAUUCUUGGAACUUUGCUGUGUUAAUCAAAUUAUUACUUACACAUAAAGAAAGACUAAAAAUAAUAGUUGAUGGGAGUCUAAACCAAAAAAUGUUGAAUUCCUAUUUAAAAAUAUAAAUUUUGUAUACAGUAGUGAAUAGGGUUGAAUCCACAUAGACUAGCGAUUUUCUUAUUUCUUUAGUAAAAACAAGUAAUAUAAAAUACAAGAGAAGGAGGGUUUGAAAUUAAAAUCUAAAAUUGUGUCAAGAAAGAUCACACUAAAAUUUUAAGAAAAUCAAUGCGAUGAAAAUCUAGUUAAAUGCAAAAUCACAGUUUUGAUUUAUGGGUUUGAUCAUCGAUGUAAAGAUAAAUUUCAAUAUUCUAUGAUAAAUUGAUUAUAGUAUUCAAUCUCUUCUUAUCUAGAGGUGAACAAAAUUUGAUUCGCUUCAAAAAAAAGUUAAUUGAAUCGAGAUAUUCAUUUUUUCAAAUCAACUCGAAUAAAUAAUUUAGUUUUUCAAGUUAGAGUCAAGUUGAAUUUUACAACUCGAAUAAAAAAUUUAUGUAAAUACCCCUUGUGUCCUUGAUAGUUUUAAAAUUGUGCAAAUUAGUCCCUUUUAAUAAAAUUACAAAAAAUUCAAAAUAAUUAUAAAAUAUAUUUUUUAAAAUUUAUAAAAAUACAUAAAUUCAAAAAAGAUAAUGUUAAGAAAUCUUUAAAAAAAUAUAUAUAUAUAAAUUCUAAAUUAUAUAAAAAUAUUAAUAAAAAUGACUCGAUUCGAUCAAAUGCUCACCCCUAUUCUUACCUUCUCAAUAACUAAGAUGAACAUCAUUAAUUAUUUUCCUUAUUGAAAAAUAACCCUAUAACAAGAAUACAUAGGAUUCAAUUUACCAAUAGCAUUAAGAUUUAAAAAGAACCAAUUCUAGCUAUAAAAAAAAACACAACAACAGGGCUCAAUUUGACCAAAUCACGUAUCAACAUAAUAAUGAAUCACAUACUUCGACAUAUACAACCAUACUAUUCGUCACAAAUAUUAGAAUCAAUUAUAUACUUAAAUUCAAAUUAACAAGGAAAAUAUUCUAAGCAAUCGAAUACAAGCUUUAUAUCCAACAAACCUAAAUAUUUAUAAUUAAAACAGAUGAUAUGAAAAUACCAAAUAAAAAAAAAUUUGAGAGCAAAUUAAAUUUUAUAAAUUUUAACUAGAAAAAGAGUUUAGCAGCUGUUUGGAAAAAAAUGCAAAAGUAUAUGAAUGUAAUAUAUAUAGUUGGGAAGUUGGGUUUGAUGUCACGGUUAUCUUUGUGGUAGUGCAACGAUGCUCUCUUUAUAUUUGUGCUCAUGUAUGGUGGUGUAGAAGGCACUCAAGGUAGGGUUUAGCACUUAUCUCCAAUUGAAGAGAAAUUUAUAAAGUGAGUUUAUUUGAAACUACUAUGUUGGGGCAAUGGGAUGUCACUUUUUGGCAAAUGAGGAAACUCCCGUCAUUUGGAAUAUUUAUGGUGGAGUUAAUGAUUACUCUAUGGAGAAAGGAUUGGGUAAAACUGUGAUUCUAUGUCAUUUUUAUCCCUUUUUAAUAGGAGAAUGACAAAUCAGAUUUUUCCUCCUGAUUUUCAACAUUUUUAGUUGAAUUUGAAUUUUUUAGGAGGAAAAAGUUGAAAAUCAGGAGAAAAAAUCUAAUUUGUCUUUCUUGUAUUAGAAAGGGAUAAGGAUGACAUGGAAUCACAAUUUCAUAUAAUCCCUUCUCUUACUCUAUGAUGAUUUCCAAAAUUUUAAAACAAUGUCCUUAAUAAGUGUUAUUACUAAUGUUUGAUGUGGCAUUGUUUUAUAAAAUUUUUGUUGUGGAUUUAGAUAUUUAUGGAUAUUCAACUUGAAUUUUGCAGAUUCAAAUAAUAUUUAAAUUCAGAUAUUAAAAUUAUUAUAUGCUACAGAUCUGGAGUGGAUGUAGACUCCUCGAAUGUCCAUUAUCCAAAUCUAAAACCUCUUAUAUAUAAAGUCAAGUUUUAACCAUCAAUCCUUACAUUAAACAUUUAUUAUAAUUUACACAAAUUAAUAAAUUAAAAACAUAUAAAAACAUAAUAAAAUAUUUUCUGAAAUUAAAUAUAAUAAUUAAUAUAAAAUUAAAUAUAAUAAAUUGGACCGUAUUGAUGUUUGCUGAAAUCAUUCUACAAGUGUUAGGCUCUGCAAUAAUAAGAUUUUUGAAUCCAGAGUAUAUUAACGAAGUUGAAUAUGUCUUGAGUUUUUAUGGUGCUUGAUGUAUAAACGAGGAAGAUAGUUAAUAUAUUGUGGUGUUUUGUAAAGAAUUGUUGCUUCUUCUCCAAAAUUCCCCGCAACAUUUUACUCCUUUAAUGCCGCAAUAAGCACAUACAAAAUUAAAAUUUUCUGCAUAAUUGCUAUAGGAAAUGCCAUGGAAUCGUGCAACUUAUCCCGGCGAAACACCGCUUAUGUUAAGUUUAGAUGGACGGUGGUGUAACUUAUCCCGGCGAAACACCGCUUAUGUUAAGUUUAGAUGGACGGUGGUGUGGAAACAAUUUCCUGCAAAUUAAAAAUUAUUAUACGAUGAUAAUUAUGUCUACAAAUGUUGUUAAAUAUAAAACGUGGCAAUUUGUUGUACAAGUAGAGAGAGAGAGAAGUUGUGCCUUCUCAUAUUGACAUGUAGAACAGUAGAAGGGGCUUUUUUUCAAUUUGGCUGGAGAAGAAAUGAAAACAUUUAUUUGUAUUUUUAAAAUAUUAUAUAUUUAUUUAUAUUAUUUUAUAAUUAACUUAUCAUAAAUUUAAUACACAUCAACAUUUUGCUACUUAAUUUAUUAAUUAUUUUAAGAUUUAAUUUUCAUUGUCUAAUUAAUUCAUUAAUUAUUUUAAAUAUGUCCAUAAACAUUUUUCUUUCAAAAAAAAUAAAAUUUGAAUGUGAUUUAUUUAUAUUAUUCAUGUAUUUAUUCUUUUUAUUUAUAAGAAAAAAAUUUAAAUUCAGUAUAGAAUAACUCAUCAAAAUUUUGAAUUACUAUUUUUAAAAUAAUUUACAAGUUUAAAAUAUUAUUUAUAAUGUUCUCUGAUAAAAGGUUUUAAACAACUAAAUAAAAAAUAGAUUUAUCAACAUUUAAAUAAAUUAUAUAAGUUUAAAGCAAUUUUUAAUGAUGGUCACUAUUAAAUAUUUUAAAUUUUAUUUAAAUAAUAAUUUCAUAUAACAUACGACCAGUUUAGGAGAUAAAAAUCUUCGAGUUUUGAGAUAAUUUUUGAGUUCUAAAAUAUUUUUUAAUUAUAUUUAAAGUGAGUUAUAUUUUUUAAAUUAAAUUUUACAUAUGAUUUUUUGAAUCAGUAAUAAUGAACUUUUAAAUAAUAAAUAGGUAGAUUUUGCAUAGGCCGAUUAAAUUUGGGUUGUUGGAUUGAAACUUGGAAAUAUCGAGAUGAAUCUAAUUAUUUAUGUAUUUCAAUUAUCUUGGGAAACCCGAGCAUAACUUUUCAAUUAAACGCUUUUAACAAGAAGCAUUUUUUAAAAAUAUUUGGGCAGUCAUGUCUGAUCUUUCUCAACAUUUUCAAAUAUGUUUCACAUUUGGUAGUAUAGGCUUCUUGUGAAAUGGAUCCCGAACAUAAUAAGAAGCAUUUAAAAAAAAAUUGUAUAAUCAUAUUCGAUCUUUUCCAACAUUUUCAAGUAUGUUUCAUAUCUGGUGGUAGAGGCUUCCUAUAAAAUGGAGGUGAUAUAGAGAGAUUUUUUGGAGUUAAGAUAACCUUUGUGGAGAAAAUUUACAUGUCGAGGAGAAGAGUGUAGAUGUUAACAAUAUUAAGUUAUUUUUCUUCAUUUUUUUGAACAAAGUUCAUAGUUGCUGCAACAUAAUUUGGAUACUCACCCUAGUAGACUAAUUUGUUUCAAGUAUAUUGUUACUCUAUUUAUGAUAUUUUAUUAAAAAAACUGAGCUGAAUGACGACACGAAUGUCAAGUUAAAGGUUGAUGCGCAUUACUCAAUUGAGAAUGUUGUAAUAGAGUUAUAUACUUAGUUUGAGGAUGUACAGACAUUUGCUCUAAGUUCGCUCUAAGUUCAUUAACAUUUGCUAUUAAUAUGUAUCCCAUUUUUGGUUAAGAAGAGAAAGCAAAAAGUACAACCACCUGGUUGCGUAGUGGUUUCUUAACGUUGUUGGGAAGCUCAUAUCUGAAGAUGUCAGAAUCAUCAAUACGAAGACAUUCAUCUGUUGGAUUCUUAGAUUGCAACUUUGGUGUUUGACAUUUUUAAAAUUUGUAAAGUUUAUUAAAUUAAAUAUAAUAAUAUACAAAUAAUUUAUUUAACAAAACAAUAAAUUUAUAAUCUACAAUAUUAUUAAAAUACCAAUAUAGUUAACAUAAAAAUUACUUAUCUUUCUAAAACAUCAAUAAUAUAAUAAUAGGUGCAAGAACUAAAACCUACUAUUCGAAAUUUUUUAACACUUAAAACAAAAGGAAUUACCUUAUAUUUCUUAAGGAAUUUGAGACCAUAAAAAUCGAUUAAAGGCACGAAAUUACUAAUUUUUGGUAAUUAAGAGAAAAAAAAAAAGUAUUUAGAGAUUGAGAUUGAUAAUUGAGAGAAAAAGGAAUUUGAGAAUGAAAUUUAGAGAAAUGGUUUGAUUAAAUUGAUUGAGAAUUGGAUGAAAGUGGGAGGGUUUAUUUAGGGGAGGAGCAAACGAUAAUAUUAUCGUUUAUUUAUUUUUAUUUAAAUUUUUUUACCAUUGAUUUCAACGUUAAAAAAAUGGAUGGUCUUGAUUUUUCGAACUUUUGAGACCCAAAAGCUAAGGUUAUUACAAGAAUCAAAAUAUUCUCUUUCACAAUAUUAAAUGUAGUGCAAGCGAAAGCAUGACCUAUUUUUUUUUUUUAUUUGGUAGAAAGGAAAAUAGGCCAAGCGUAAAAACUAAACUAAAUAAACUAAUUUCUACUUGACUAUAUAAGAACGGUCAAACAGGUAUCCUCUUUUAACAAAAUCUUGAUCUUGGACGGUGGAUCUAAACGAUCGAUAUCAUCACUAAUUGUCUUGACUAGGUAAUCUGUCACUUUGUUAUUGAUUUUUCAAAUGUUCUGAAUUUUACUUUCCAAUCUCUAGAAUACAAGUUGUUAAUAUCUGAAUUUCAACAACAUUGUUAACCUUUGCAAGUCUGGUUUGAAGAACCUCAAUAAGCAAAGCAUUGUCACUCUCCAAUUCGACUUGUCUAAAACCUUUAUCCCAAGCUAGUCUCAACCCUUUAAGAACCGCUCUAGCUUCAAUUUGGGAAAUAUCUGUUAUACUUAUUGCCAUCUUGAAACUAAACAACCAACCACUGCUUGGUCCCCUCGCCACUCCUCGAUUGUUUCUCUUAAACCACUCCUUGAUAACGAUCCAUCAACACUAAUUUUGAUCCAUUUGAAGGUUGAAUUUUGCCAACUAUUCACUGCACGCCCAUAUUUCAAUUGCCCCUCCUAUUUGCAAUGAUUUAGUCCAUGUGGUAGUUGAGGAAAUAAUAUUUCUUCUUUUCCAAACAAACUAACAAACAAUCCCCAAAAAAAACCUCCCAUUGUCCACAACCAAAUGCACAAUUACCUUCAUUCUUUAAGUUCCACGUGAUCCAUCUUUCAAGAGGAAAUGAAAAAGCAUAUCCAAUAUUUCAUAGGAACAACUGCUUUCCAAACUGAUUUUGCAAAAGAACAAUCCCUAACAACAUGCAAUGUGGGUUCCAAAAUGGCACCACAUUGCUCGUAAAAUGGAACCUGAGUCAUACCUCGUCUAGCACGCUCCUCAUUUGUUAGUAGCCGACCAUGAAUAAGCAACCACAAAAACAUCCUGACUCGUUGAGGGGGCCGUAAUCUUCCAUAUUAGCUUGUUGCCCCUAAAAUGUCCUGAAUCAUCCGCAACAAAAAAAAAUGUUUGUAAGACUCCGUGACAGAGAACUUCCCUGUCGAUGUCCAUUUCCAGGAAACAAAGUGUGAAUCGACUCCACUAGUAGGCACUUAGUGUGCAAGAAUAUGUGUUAAAAUUCCUCUAGGGAGAACUGAAGAUAACCACGGUAUAUUCCAGAUUCCAUCCAAGAGAGCCACUUUACUUACUAAAAUCGUGUCAUUCAGCUCCCCGGGUCCAAGAUAGAAUUGUUGUAGAGGACGAAUCUCUAGCACCCAAUCAUCAUUCCAGAAAUUGAUUAGGCGACCAUCCCGAAUAAUCCAGAUAAUGCCAUUUUUGACUUCAUCCCAAAUGUGCAUCACAAACCUUCAUAAGUAAGAUGGGUUACUACGCUGAAUAUCAUCAAGUACCAAACUAUGGAUACUAUAUUUAUUUCUUAAAAUUCUAACCUAAAACGCACCAGGAUUAGCAAUCAAAUUGAAGCCAAGCUUCAUAAGGAACAACUUGUUUUGAACUUGCAAACUUUGGAUUCCCAGACCACCAUUAUCUUUAGACCGAUAACAGAUAUUCCAGUUGACUAGAGAUGGUUUCUGAAUAGAAAUAGAAGACCCUCACAAAAAAAGCAUGAGCCAAUUUUUCAAUUUCAUUACAACAAGAAUUCUUGCAGUUGACAUGAAAUAAUUAGGAAUCGACAGCAAAACAGACUUUACUAAUGUCAGAUGACCUGCUAAUGAUAGCUUGCACACAUCCCACUCAAAAAGUUGAGCUAUAACUUUGUCCAGUAUGAAUUGAAACAUAUUAAUCCCUACUCUAUCGUGAAAGAAAGGCAUUAUGAGGUAUCUCCCCAUAUCACUGGCCCUUGUAAAGCCAAGUUUAGAGCAUACACUCCUAGCUUCCUCGUCCCUAACAUUAGAUGAAAAGAAAACUUGAGUCUUUUGCUUGUUAACACGAUGACCAGCAAAAUGAAAAAAGGUGUCUAAGACAUGCUUGAGACAAACGUCUCCUGAGUCAUCAGCUCUACAGAACAACACUAAAUCAUUUGUAAAAAAUAGAUGUGACACACCUAGCGCUCAAUGAGAAAGCAUUAUUGGUUCCCAUAGCUGCUGAUCAACUGUCGCUUCAAUUAAGUGGCCUAACAAUUCCAUACACAAAACAAAAAGAUAUGUUGACAGAGGAUCACCUUGCCGAACACCUCUUGUUGGAAUGAACGAAUCAGAAAUAAAACCAUUCCCAAAAGUUGCAUUGAGGCAGACAAGACACAUAGCAUAAUCGCCUGUUGUAAGCUUUUCCAAGAUCAACCUUUACCACCAUCUAACCCUUUUUAAUCUUGGUUUGCUUCAUCGUAUGGAUUACCUCUUGAGCUGUGAUAAUAUUAUCCGAAAUGUUCUGUGAGGCAAUAAAGCUCGACUAAUUUUAUCGAACCAGAUCUUACGUAAUUCUUCAAAAACGGAUUACAAUUGUUUUUGUAAUUAUUUUAUAAUUAUUUCUUUUUUUUUCAAAACAAAUAACUUGAUUAAUUUAAUUCCCAAUAUAUAUUUAUGGCAAAUUAACUCUUAAUACUACUAGUCUAGUUAAUUAGUGAUAACACUCAUCAAUCGAAUUCCAACUCAUGGAAAAUUAUAAAAAAAAAGAAACAUUAUUACCAAAGCUCUAUUUUGUUUUAAUUUUAUCAUAAAUUUAGUAUUUUAUUCUUUUAACCAUCUGCUUAAAAUGACAUGAUUAACUUAUUAAAUUUUAAAUAACCCAUUGCUUUGUCCAAGGAUAAUAUUGUUUUUUUUAUACAAAUUUUCCCUUUUUUUUUAAUUCAAGAUUUUCAUCCAUGAUUAUAUAUAUAUGAUUGACUAAUUUAAUAAAUACGUCGCAGUUGUGUAAAAAAUUAAUAUAUUUAAUAAUUUUUAUUAUAAUUAAUAAAAAAAACAAAAUGUACAUAAUGCAUGAGAAAUUGAGGGAUCUAAAUCAAGUACACAUCUGAUCACAAUAUUAUAAAGAGAAAGCGAAGGAAUGGAAAGGUAUGUGAGACCAUAAUUUAUUACAAGGUUAAAAAAGCUUGCUUUUGUUAAUGAAAAAGAAUUAAAGUAACAUUUUUUAAACAAAUAGUCCUUUUAUAAAAAGCAUAAGUCCGUUACCAACAAGUCAUCAUCACAUAAUUAAAACGGAACCUGUCCACAAAACGCCAUCGUUUUGUGCUUGCUCCGUACUCGCAGCUACGAUUAUUAAAAAGGGGUUAUGUGACUGUAAAGGAUGUGCAGAAAGCAAAGCAGAGUGAGCGUUGCUUCAGAAACGGGAUUUAGGAACAAACAAACAGCCUUCAAUCAUUUUGUUCUAAUCUCCGCCAUAAUUAAUCUCAUUCCUUUUCUACUUUCAUUUAAAAUCAAAAUAAAGAAUUCCAGUUUUGUUUGAAAGAUAAGAAAGAUCAAAGCUAUUAGCUUCUUCCCUUUUUAUCAUUUGAGUGAACAACAAAAUCCCAUUGAUAAAGGAGUUGCCAAUGCCAUUUGAUUGCUUUACUUUUUGAGCUCUCAUAGUCAUGGCCGACGAUCUCUGUUUCUUCACCAAGGUCAGUUCCCCCCCCCCUUUUCCCUUUUGUAGGAGUGUGUUUUUUUGGGGGGUUUCAUUGUCGUUAUCUUGAGUGAGAUUAAAGAUUCUAUUAAUUAUUUCAUUUUUCAUAUUUUAGUGUCAUGCGAAUAUACUGAUCUAUUUUUCCGUGCACACGCACAGAAAACUGAUCUUUGUAUUGUAAACCCAUAUCUUGAGCGGGGCUUGUUUCUAUCGUCAAUUCGCAAUACCCAGAUUUCAUUUUCAUGAAAGAUGUGUUCUUUGAUAUUUAUGCGCAUGUUGGUUUAUUUAUUUACGUUAAACGUGAUUAAUCAAUUAAUUCUAAUUGCAUAUUAAAUUAAACCAAGUAAUGUAUUGCUCAACUCACAGCUGAGUCUUCUAGCUAAAUCAGAUCAGAGUUCAGUUCAGUGCUAUAAGAAUGCCCACAUCAUCUCUUUCACAAGCUCCAUUUAAUGACUUAUCAAUAACAAAGUUCUGCUUUGUUUUAUCUUUUUUUUUUUUUUGCUUUAUUGGUAUAAUUUGUUAUUAAUAUCUGGCAGAUUCAUUGAAUUUCAGGAUUCUUUCAUCCUAAAGUCGUCAAAGAAGUCUCCAUUGGUGUUGAGGACGGUUGUAUUGUUUUUUGUAAUGGUUUGUGGAGUGUAUAUCUGCACGAUUUGUUUGAAGCAAAUAAGCACUGGCAGCACCACUGAAUUUUUGAAUUUUAGAGUGGUCCAAAAGCCCUGUCCAGAACCUAAUAUUGAGCCAUGGGAAAUUCCUUACGUACACUAUCCGAACCCCAAAACUUAUAGCAGGUAAGAGAAUGAUUUUAGUCCUCCUAAGUUUGGUUUCAGUUUUCAGAUAUAAAUAUGGGAUUAAUUUUUUGUGUGUGAUUAGGGCUGAAUGUGCGUGCAACCCAGUCCAGUAUUUUGCCAUUAUGUCAAUGCAGAGAUCCGGGAGUGGAUGGUUCGAGACAUUAUUGAACAAUCAUACUAACAUAAGCUCAAAUGGGGAGAUAUUUUCUGUCAAAGUUAGGAGGAGUAAUGUGUCAACAAUUUUUGAGACUUUGGACAAAAUUUAUAACCUAGACUGGAUGAGUAGUGCCUCAAAAAAUGAGUGCACAGCUGCAGUUGGCUUGAAGUGGAUGCUUAAUCAGGUGAGCACCUCAUGGGUGAAACGCGAUUUCUAAAGUUUAACUGCUAAUUGCCAAUAUUUCUAUGGCAGAAAUACACUGAAAAUUACUUAUGUUCUUCCCAUAUGAAUCUGCAAAAAGGAGUUGAGUACUAAAUGGUUCACACUAUCUGCUAUACAAAGCCUUAGUUAUACCAGUUAGAUUCAUAUUAGGAAUGGCUAAUUUAGUGGGCGGGAGCUCUACAACCAGGACACCAAAAAUGAAGCAAAAGAAACCCAAAACAUCCUUUAUAUUUAUAAAUACACUUGUGCUUUUAGGUUUUCUAAUGGUCUUUCAGUGAAUGCAAGUUUUGAGUUCCUUGGUUUCUGCAGCAUAAUCAUGAUAAACUCAUGACAGCUAAUACCAUUCUGUGUUUGAUUGCCUCUUUCUUUUUCUAAAUUACCUACUAUCUUUGUUUCCCAAUCCAGUUUUAUGUAAUUCUAUUAGGAACCUGAUGCUUUUGCCCUGUAAUUAGAAACCAAUCCCCUACUGCUCAAAAAGAAUUAAAUGACUAUCCUAGCAUGCUUUUUCACACAAGACAACCCAACAUCAUGUUAUUUUUGUUAGUAUUCCAAUAUACCACCAACCUCAUAUUCUUAACCCAGCCAAUUGAUUUCUGUAUAACUGCUGCUAAUUCGAGCCUUACUUGCAUCUAGAUACUCCUUUUAUUAGGACAGCAGGUUCUGGGUCUUCUUCUCUUUAGAUGCGAGUUUGCAUAAAGUUGGGUUAUGAUUAUUAGAUAUCCUAGUGCUCCAGAUUUCUGAUAAUAAUUUAGGGAAAAUUAUUAAGUGUAUCACUAAGGAGAGUUGAGCUGUUGCAUAAGUUUGUGGGGUUUUUCUUUUCCUUCUUGUGACUUCUACUUGGUAAGUUAAGGGGGUAAAAAUGGGGACAAACAUGAUGUCUCAUCUAGGCUCUUAACAUAUUUGGUCACCCUGGGGAUCAUGUCAAGCUUUCUAUGACGUUGCUUUUGCAGCAUGAUAAUAGAAGAGGGGUGCAACGAGAGUUAGAUCAGUUGUGGCCUUCCUUUCAUAAAAUGGUUGGGUGUAAAUAUAAAGCUGUGUCUCUAUAUAGGUAGGAGAGAUUGGAAGUCUAAAAAAUGUUUACCGUUAAUAAAAAUUUAAUUGUUAGAUUUAGAUAUUUCAAGUUACAUUUUUGGUCACCCUGGGGAUCAUGUCAAGCUUUCUAUGACGUUGCUUUUGCAGCAUGAUAAUAGAAGAGGGGUGCAACGAGAGUUAGAUCAGUUGUGGCCUUCCUUUCAUAAAAUGGUUGGGUGUAAAUAUAAAGCUGUGUCUCUAUAUAGGUAGGAGAGAUUGGAAGUCUAAAAAAUGUUUACCGUUAAUAAAAAUUUAAUUGUUAGAUUUAGAUAUUUCAAGUUACAUUGAUCUUUUAAUGAGAAGCACAUUUAUUGGUAAAUAUUUACCACGACAUUGAUCCAGAUAUCAUUUUCCAUGUUACCUUGAAUUACUAUAAUAGGAUUCUUAAUCAAAAUUAUGAAAAGGAAACAGGAGAUAAGUUUCUGAUAACCAACAAACAUGGAAAGAAGACAUGACAACAGCUCAUGCAAUUCUGAUGGAUUAAGGUAAUUGAAAUCUGUGUUUGGAAGUGGAGAAAAUGUGUAUCAAACAGGAGAUAAUCCCCUUAUUUGAUGAUUUGGAGACUCAACUGAACAAUGAGGUCAUAUUUUGUUAGAUCUUGCCUUCGAGAUAAACAUGUACUUCAUGAUUUUCAGAACAAUGUCUGCAGCUCAAUAUUCAUUAAUGAACACGCUUUCCCUAUGUUUGAAACUUUUUUAAAGACAGUAUUUUGUCUACACACAUUGCUAGUGUUUGUGAUUAUGCUUGUCUUUGUUGCAUUCGUGAUCAUAAUCUUUUACUGCAGGGACUGAUGCAACAUCAUAAAGAAAUAGUAGAAUACUUUAAUACUCGGGGUGUUUCAACUAUUUUCCUCUUUAGAAGGAAUCUUCUGCGCAGGAUGAUUUCAAUACUAGCAAAUUCUUAUGAUCGGGAUGCUAAACCACUAAAUGGAACCCACAAGUCUCAUGUUCAUUCACCUCAUGAGGUUUAUGCCCCCCCUCUCUCUCUCUCACACACGCAUAAAUAUCUAAAAGUUUCAACUCUUACGAAAUGAUUUCAGGCUGCAAUACUUGCUAGUUACAAGCCUGUAGUCAAUGCCACAACGCUGAUUCCAAGCCUAAGGCAGGUCGAAGAGACAACUAAGAAAGGUUUGGAGUACUUCAAAAGCACACGGCACAUCAUUCUUUACUAUGAGGAUGUAGUAAAGAACCACACUGUAAGGAAAAUGUUUCAAAAAGCUGAUCUUUUAGUCUGGUUAUGAAUCUUUUAUCUAAGUGCGGGUUCUUAAUAGACUCAUUUCUGGUCAUUGUGCAGAAGUUAGCCGAGGUCCAAGAAUUCCUAAAGGUUCCAAAGAGGGAGUUGAAGAGUCGUCAAGUAAAGAUACACAAGGGAUCGUUAUCCAAUCACAUUCAGAAUUGGGUUGAUGUUGAAAAGGCACUCAAUGGAACUAAGUAUGAAAGUUAUCUACAUGCAGAUUACAGGAAGUAAAGCAGUGGCAUUGAUGUACAUUCCAUUUUUGACCCAUUUCCACUCAUCUUUUGUUUCGGAUCUCCAAGUGACAGGCACCAACAGUGAACCUACCAAGCUGAACUCUGUUCGGAUUUUGGGUACACGGCAUGCAUCAUUUUGCUUUUAAAUUUUAACCUUACACUCACACCUUCGUAUUCUUUUCAUUCUUUUGUUUUUCAGUUGAUAUGGCUUUGACAGAAAACUGCUGUAUUUAUGCCCAAUCAAAGGAGAAACUUGCCUUUUUGCGUUGUAUAUGUUAAUAUGAAUACGUUCAAGUUUUUAAAAGUUGAAGCAGGGAGACCUCCCACAUUCAAAGUUCCUAUUUCGGGUCUCAUGAGUGGAGGCCAGGGGCUUGACCGGCAGAAACUUGGACCCUUUUUGUUUAUGAACCCAUUCAUCCCUCCAUUUUUGACCCUCCAACCAAUUCCAAAUAUCUGAAUUAAAACGUUUCUAUUUCUUUUUUUCUUACGACAGCAAGUGAUUGUAGAAUCUCAACCAAUCCACCAGGUUUAGUUCAAAGAAAAAUCCAGCAGGCUUAGGCAUAACCAGGUGGGGUUUUAAAGUUUCUUAAACUUUAAAGUCAAGUGGGGUUUAAAAAAAGUUGGGGUUGUUGGUUUGAGAGUCAAAAAGACUCAAUUUUUGAACAUCCUUCCGGGAGUUCUUUUAAUCUUUAUUAUUAUUAUUUUUUUUUUUUGCGCUUUAAUCUUCUGUUUCAACAUCUAAUCUCAAGUUAUAUAAAUCUAUUGCUAUACUAUAAUGCAUAGUCUAUGGUGGGAGGUUAAUGCACUCAAUUAUCACUUCGGUACCUUAUGAAUUUUUUGUAUCAAUUUCUAACAUGUAUUAAUAUUUGUACCACGUACUAUUUUCAUAAUUCAUACAAUUCCAAAAAGAAGAUACCAUUUACCUAUUUAUUUAAAUUAUGAUCCUAUUAUUGUGAGUGAAGUCAUGUCAUGUGUAAGUCAUGCAUCUAACAUACCAACUUUCGACCUACUACCAUGAGAGCACAAAUUUUCAAUAUACCAAAAUACACGAGUCAUUUACGUUAUAAGUGAACGAAUCCAUAAAUAUAUUUAAGAUAAAUUCAAUUCGAGUUCAAUAUGAUGUAUUAUCAAUUCAGACAAUCACAUUUAUGCCUCUAUUUUUUAGAGUAAACUUUGCUCCGACAAGCAAGACAAGUUAAUACCCCAAUUGGACUUAUAGACAACAAAAUAGUCUCCUAUUAUUUGAAUUAUUUGCUUAAUUUAAUUUUACAGACUAUGGGUAAUUCAGACGACAUAUGAGUUGUCUUCUCACAUUAUAAUCUAUCCAUAUAAUGCAACUUAUUAUAAAUUAAACCUUAGAUAAUUAAGGAGCUUAUAUUUACUUAUAUAUUUUGCUGUUAAUGCUAAAACUAUUGAAGACAAACAUAUAAGAUCAAUUAAAUGAGCAUGUGGUAAUUUUAUUAUUUCAAUCAAUUUAAAAAUUACUACACUAAAGGUACUAUUUCUAACAGUAUUUCUUGUUUCUUAUGAUCGUGUACACAUAUUUAUUUGAAAUUAUUUAAAAAAAAUCUUUGUAAGAUAUUAUUGCAAUAUGUAUGUUACUAACGUAUUAUAUGGAAAGAAGAAUGUGCAUUGAAUCAUAUGCAACAGUCAUAACUCACAUUUGUAAUUUAAAUUAAUUACUAUAAUAGAAAUUAAAUAAUUUAUUAAUUCAAUUAUUUGAUGAACUUAUCAAAUUAAAAAGUGGUGAUGAUGAACUUACCAAAAUUGCACAUAAAAAAAUAAUAAAUUUAUAAAAUAUCUUAAAAAUAGAAAAAAAAAACAUUAAAAUUGGGUUUGUGAUAUUGAAAAUACUAUGAUUAAAAAAAAGGUUGGAAAGUUCCUAAAUUCUAAUGCAUUAUCUGUAAAUCUAAAAGAUGAUCUAAUAGGGGAAUGGCGGUUGGAUCUAGACCGUUGAGGCCAGGUCAGCAUGGUAAGAUAUCCCCACACGACCAUCAGGUGGGUCCCUGUCUAAAACUCACGGGCCGGCAACAAACAAAAUACGUAAACAACCACCAUCGCUGUACCCGAGGCCGAGGCCCUUCCUUCUCGCUAUUUACCCCUUCAACUCAGAUCCAUCAUCCACCGCCACCCUUUAUAACCUUACAUUCCCUUCUACCGCACCCCCUCUCUCUCUGCUUUUCUUUCUCUCGUUUGGCCAUUAAGGGGGGAGAAAGAGAGAGAGGAAGGAAAGAAGAACACCCAGAGUCUCAGAUCAGCUUGUUUAUCUAUAUUAUCAAAGAUGCAGUCAAGUUCAACCAACGCUCCUGAUCUCAACUCAAAACAGCAACAACAACCGCCAACGCAACAAACCAGACAGCAACAACAACAACAUCCACAAUGGGUGCCUAACCAGUGGAUGGGAGCCAUGCAAUACCCGGCGACUGCUAUGGUCAUGAUGCAGCAGCAGAUGAUGAUGUACCCUCACCAUCAUUAUAUGGCUUACAAUAAUCAUCAUUACCAUUAUCAACAAUACCAACAGCAGCAGCAGCAACAAAAAAAACAGCAACAAGGGUGUAAUUCGGAUGAGGUUAAAACGAUCUGGGUUGGUGACCUUGUUCAUUGGAUGGAUGAAACUUAUCUCCACGGUUGCUUCUCUCAUACUGGCGAGGUAAAAGUAAAUACAAUAGUGUGGUUAUAGCAUGAAAUUGAUAGAUGCAUGUCUUGUCAUGAAUCUUACACUAGAUCUUUUUUUGUUUUAUGUUUUGAGGAAUCUGUUGGUUUUAGUACUUUGCUGCCUUUUUUGUUUGUGGGGUUUAAGGAUAAGUUCAGGUUCGAGGUUUUUUGCUAAUUUAAGGAAUGCUAAGUUUGUGGUUUAUGUUUUUAAUGUAAUUACAGUUUUAGAAAAUAAUCUGCGUUUAUGGCCUAAAACUUUUUGCCCAGAACAUUAAAGCUGAUUAAUUUAAAGACAAGGAUUGUUUUUAAUUGAAGCUGAACAGAUGAAUAGACUAUAUAGUAGAUUGCCAUUAUAAAAUAAAACUGGAUAAUUGCCAAAAGUCAAUUUAAGCUGUGUUGUAGACUGCCUGGAUGAUUAGCUUUUGGUUAAAAGCAGUUUACAUCUCGUUUCGUAAACAUGGAAACUUAAUUAUAAGAAAAAAGACCUCUUAUUUCACAUCAAAACUUUGCUGCUGAUGCUUUCAAGAAAAAGAACAAGCUUUGCAGCAGUAGCAAUCUUAGGUUGUUAUAAAACUAGACAUGUAAUGACUUUUCAUGUUGGGUGUUAAUUAGGGGAGAUAGGCUGGAUUACGAAAUCAAUUAUGCUUAAAAUUCAUUUUCCCCUGCUACAUGGACUCCUCCAAGUUUCUGAACAUUCAGAAUUUUUGUUUAAUAUAGGCUUUUUAAUGUAGAUAACUUCUUGAACACAUAAAAUAGGAUCCUCUUGGUUUGGAUCCAAAAGUCACUGAGAUGCUUAUGUGGUAGUGUGAAGUGUUGGACACCAUUUUGAAGAAAGUGCCUGGCUCAUAUUGGCAUUUAUUUCUGGGAAGGUUCUAAUGUAUCCAUGAUCUUUCCGAAAGCUUCCUUCUUUCUUUGCUUGUAUUAUUUGAAAAAUGGGGGCCUAAAAUGACUUCGUAUCUUGUACCAUUCUUUGGAACCUUGAAAUCUUCUAGAGGAUUUUAUUAGCUUCAGUUUUAUUUUUAGUUUCUUGGAAAGUUAGCUGCUCAGACCCAUCAUACAGUUGAUUUCUAAUACCAAUACCAUUUUGAACAUUUUACUUGAUUAUCCAGAAGGCAGGCUAUUGUACUGAAAAGGCUAUUGCUUAUCAUCAUUAUUAUACCCUUGCUUACUGAAAUUUGGCAUUUAAAAAAUCCAGGUUUCUUCAGUAAAGAUUAUACGCAAUAAGCAAACUGGUCAGUCUGAAGGAUAUGGGUUUGUGGAAUUUUACUCAAGGGCAACAGCUGAAAAGGUUUUGCAAAGUUAUAAUGGUUCUCUAAUGCCAAAUACAGAGCAGACUUUUCGUCUGAAUUGGGCUUCCUUCAGUGUGAAUGAAAGGCGGCCCGAUGCUGGUUCUGACCUAUCUAUAUUUGUAGGAGAUUUGGCCACUGAUGUAACUGAUUCGAUAUUGCUUGAAACCUUUUCUAGUAGAUUUCAAUCAGUGAAGGGAGCAAAAGUUGUUAUUGAUUCAAAUACUGGUCGUUCAAAAGGCUACGGUUUUGUUAGGUUUGGUGAUGAAAAUGAAAGGUCAACGGCCAUGACUGAAAUGAAUGGUGUGUAUUGCUCCAAUAGACCUAUGAGAAUUGGGGUUGCAACUCCCAAGAAAGCAUCUGGUCAUCAACAACAGUAUUCUUCACAAGGUAACCUAAUAUGGUGAACUGUGCUAUUUCCAAUGGUUCAUCUUUUUAUCUUUUUCUGGUUGGAGCAUGGAGCUCCCAGAAUUUCUCUUAUUUCUUGGAUUAUCCUGUUUCUGUCAUCAUGUUCUCGUGUGACUUGAAUAAAUUACUACAGAGCUAGUUAUUUCUAAAAAAGUAAAUUUGUCUUUCAAAUGUACUAUAUUUCUUAUCUUAUAUCUUGACGUGAGACUUAAUCGAAUCAUUAUAUCAAUAUUCCACUUUUUAUUAGCUUUGGUGUUGGCUGGUGGACAUGCAUCAAAUGGUGCUUUGGCACAAGGUUCUCAAUCUGAUAAUGACUCAAAUAACACUACUGUGAGUCCUCCUCCUUCCUUUGUGCAUUCUUCACCUGUAUAUCUGCCAUUGAUCAGUAAUUUAUGUUUCUUACAGAUAUUUGUUGGAGGACUUGACUCAGAUGUUAGUGAUGAUGAUCUUAGGCAACCUUUUUCCCAGUUUGGUGAGGUCAUCUCCGUAAAAAUACCACCCGGGAAAGGAUGUGGGUUUGUGCAAUUUGCAAACAGGUGCCUCCCUAUAUGUACUUCAUCUCAUUUUUUUUGGGAUAAUAAUGUACUUUGCCUUGUCACACUCUAUGUUAUGCUGAAGUAUGGUUUUUAUUAUUAAGGGAUUCUUAGUUACAGCUCCAUCAAUGUUAAUACUUUCACAAUGUUGAUGGAUGUUGUUGAAUUAAGUGAUGCAGAGUGAUAGGUUCUGACAGUUGGUAUCUUGAUUAUAUUAUUAUUUUUAUGAUGAUGUCAGUAGUAAUAUGAUGUGCUUUCUUUUCAGAAAGAAUGCUGAGGAAGCAAUCCAGAGUUUGAACGGGAUGACCAUAGGCCAGCAGACUGUUCGUCUUUCUUGGGGUCGUACUAUAGGAAACAAGCAGGUAAAUUUGUGCUCAAGUUCCUAUUCUUAGUAACUGUCGCCUAUUGCUGCCUUGAUAUUUGCAAAAUGCUUGGAGGGUUUGCGAUUCCUAGGUCUAAGUCUCGACAUUUAAGGCAUCUGACAUAGGUGAAAAGGGAUGGAAGAGAGUUCCUUUUCAUUUUUGAUGAAAUUACAGCACAUGGGAGUUACAAUAGUAUUUAAGUAUUACAGAUAAGAAUUGUAUAAUUUUACAGUAUGGCAUGAGUGAUGCUACAGUCUAUUUGUUACUUGGGCACUUCUGUCCCAUGCAUAUUUGGACAUGGGUAUGGGGCAUGAUCCUCCAAGUAUUUGAAAAAACUUUGAAAAGUUGAAUGUACCCCUGUCGGAUAUAUACUCGCAUCUGACACUCACUCGAGUCCAAGCAACAUAGUUGUAGGUAGACUAUUUUAUUUCCCCUCCCUUCUGCAACUUUUCUUCCCCUUAAAAUGUUUAUCUUAAUUUAUUAAUGCAUUGUAGCUUACUUCUUGAAACUGGUUUUAGCAGUGGAAUGGAGGACAUCAUUGAGGGCAAGGUGAUGGUGGUUAUGGCUACGGCUAUGCUGCAGCACCAAAUCAGGAUCCAAACACGUAUACUGUGGCUGCUGUUACUGGUUCUUCUUAAGAGGGGUGCAUGACAAUCAUGAAUGGCUUGUAAUCUGAACUUGCAGGACAAGUUUUCAAGUUAAUCAGAUUCAUUAAUUAAGUAGGAUGGGUUUGGGUUUUGCUUGCUGCUUUAGCUGAUUCUUCAGGUUACAGAAUUUUGUAGCUGGAUUUUAAUCUUUAAACAUUGAAGUUGUUUUAGAACUGUAUUAAUAUGUCAUUUACAAUUUAAAUUUUUUGCUUGAGAGGUUUUUUUUUUAAUUGUUUAUUUGUUAAGAACUGAAUUUAUAUAGAAUGAAAAAGAAUGGGCUUUUCAUCACCAUUUUCUUCAUGUUGGAGCAAAGAAAAGUUCAUAUUCUCUCGGUGCUUGCAAGUUACAUUGUUCCUUUUCUU
rnacentral:lncRNA from 1 species